GCAUAGCUCCAUUGCAUCGUGAAUCUUUGGGGUUGACCAUUCUCCAUCUACAAUCAGUUGAGUGACCUGAUUACGUGAAGGCAUACAAGUAAUCAUUAAGCUUCCAUCAUUAUAGCUUUCUUCCUCAGAAAUGGGAUCGAUGACAAGGUCCUUUCCAAGACAAGACACAGAAACUGAGGCAACCAAGUCAUACAGCAAAAUUCCUGCAUCUGCUAAAGCUAGACUAGCACAUGAUAUAACCACAGGAAGAUCACUUCCGCCAGAUUCCAAUACCACAGCAAAAACAUCCACACACGUCUUUGGGAAGGAUUUCUAUUCUUUUAAAUCAGUGACAACAUCUUUUAAACAUGAUCUCAUAACCUCUCCAAGUUUGGAGCAAGCACCAAGGCAUAGCUCCAUUGCAUCGUGAAUCUUUGGGGUUGACCAUUCUCCAUCUACAAUCAGUUGAGUGACCUGAUUACGUGAAGGCAUACAAGUAAUCAUUAAGCUUCCAUCAUUAUAGCUUUCUUCCUCAGAAAUGGGAUCGAUGACAAGGUCCUUUCCAAGACAAGACACAGAAACUGAGGCAACCAAGUCAUACAGCAAAAUUCCUGCAUCUGCUAAAGCUAGACUAGCACAUGAUAUAACCACAGGAAGAUCACUUCCGCCAGAUUCCAAUACCACAGCAAAAACAUCCACACACGUCUUUGGGAAGGAUUCCAGAAUUAUAGCACCCUCUAAAGCUUUGUGCAACAUUGAGGAAAGUUCCUUGUUGUCUGAUCCCUGCCCACGAUGAGGGGUUGCAAAAGUUGUGUAACUAACAUCACAAUUUAAGCGUCCUGUAUCACUGUACAUCAUUGCUUUCUUACUUUCUCUUGGCCCAAACACAGAUACGAUGACCUUGGUGUUUCCAAACUCUGCAUAUGCUGAUCCUGCAGCUGUGCUCACAGCACCAGUCCUCAGAUAAGCAGGACGACACUGAUAGAAGCCACGAUUAUCGGGGCGAACCCAAUCAGCAUCAGCAAUGGGGAUUCUCUUCUUCUUAUGCGUUGCUGGUGACGGUGAAUAUGUCGCUGGCGUUGAUCCUGUUUUGCCGGCCAUCAGCUUCUGCAAAGAAAAUUUUCCCAUGAAGGUGAGCCCAAGUGUUCUCUUUGUUUAAAGAUAAUACAGAAAAACAGUACAACACGGAGGGUUUAAGUCAUUGUAACAUCAUAAAAUAUAAUUAAAAUUCUCCACUAAACUAGAGCAAUAUCAAGUUAGAAAUAUUAUGAUGGUAUUACAGACUCCGAACGUUCUUCUAAAUCCAAAAGACCAAAACAGUUGGCAAAACCAAUAAGAAAGCUGACCUAGCCAAGAAAUUUGGCCUAUAUUACAGUAGCGUAAAUUGAAUUCGAAUUCAUUCAAAUAAGCCCUCUCAAGAAUCUUAGGCAAGGACUAGUACAAUUUGAUAAAACACGAGCUCUUAAAGAAGUAUGAAUCUUCAAAUUAAACUAUAGUAAAAUGUAAUAAUAUAACCAGAGAAAAUAAUAUAGGCUAAGUUGCUCGGACUCUCCAAAAAUGUGGCCGCACCCAUGUCAGAUCCUUCAAAAGGCACUACUUUUGAAGGAUCUGACACGUACCCAAUGACAUUUUUGAAGAGUCCAAGCAACAUAGAAUAUAGGUAUCACUUGACUCUAUAUGGGCUAAAGCAAACUCACUAACUAGAUCAUUUCAAAUUUGUCUUCCAAAUUUUGACAAAAAAGAGCUGUCUAAUGUUGUUUGUUUCCUCCUAAAAUCAGAAUCUUAACACUUUGGGGGGGAUUUAAAUUGUUAACGGCACUAUUGGACAGGCAAAAAGUAAAAUGUAAAUUAGCAAACAACAUGUUCUUAGAAGUAUUAGAAAUCAAUCAAUGAUCAACUCCUCAAUCCCAAACAAUAUGUUCACCAUUUACAAAGAGAAAUACUUCAACCACAUUCUUAGAAGUAAAAUUUAUGCACUUUGAUAUUCCCAAACCACAAGGCACAAACACGAAAGUAAAAUAGAAAAAAAUGAAAAAAGUAUAUUGCUAACAGGAUACAACAUUCACCAUAUAUGCCUUGCCCGGUUGGAUUUAACCGGGGUCCCCCUACCUCCAGUUGCCCCAUUUUAUGAGACUUCUACCAUAUUUUUUCUUCUUUUAUAUUGCAAUAAUAUCCAGACCCAUCUUGUUAGCAUAUCGACUAAUCAACUGGAUACGUGCAACUAGCACAGGUACCACAUAAUCCCACCUACCAAGGCUAGGUUGGUGAGAGGAUCCUCUAUUGGACAAUGCAUGCACAUAAGGAAAUAGGAGAUGGAAUAAGAUGACCCAGAAAAGUUUCAGACCCAAUGUAACACAGAGAACGCAAAUAUCUAGAAACUUAUAAGGUUGGAUUUACUAACAAAUGUGUGAUAAACAAUUAACCAUACAGACAGAAAGAAAUCUUCCUUACAUAUAAACAAAUACUAGAAAGAUAAACACAUCAAUUUCUGUUGGAAGGUUAUUAGCAUCCAUCUUUAUGGAGCUAUGAGACAAAAGACAAAGCUUGGAUCAAAAAGUCUAGUUAAAGGUUUGAUCUCAAAGCAAAAAAUAAUAAUAUAAAUGUGCUAAAAGAAUCUUUUGUUUUCCGAUAACUGAGAAGAUUUUUGAGGGCUGAUGAUGCUAGGUUUGGAACUCAAUGUUAAUAGCUCUACCCCUCUACCCUUCUCCACUUAAAUACCACACAUUUUCUGCAGCAAGGUUCAAACAUGUGACAUGCACCUACCCAUAUAUCACAAUCUAUGGUCUUAUCACUAGGCAACUCUGUGGGAAAAUGUGCUAAAAGAAAUUUAUCCUAAUAAACCUGAGGAAUGUGAGGAUGAUGUUCAAUCUGUGAGAUGAAUCUACUAUAUGAUGUGUACCAAUUGCACCCACUGCCAUCAGCACAAUGUUGUUUGAGUGUGUACAAAACAUCUAAUUACAAGUCUGAUCCAAUGCCAAAAAAAAAAAAAUAAUAGCAUACAGAAAAUGUGCUCUAAGAUAAAACAUUAUCCUAAGGAUGAAGCCCAAUCGUCAUACCAUUAUGCCCUUGGCAGUGAAUCUGCUAAAUAUGUAGCAAGUUAAAAUGCACACACUAACUUGAACUCCAUAUGUCUACAUAUGUAUUUUCCCAACAAACUACCCUUACCCUUGCAUACCUCAUGUAUACUGUAUAUGUAGUACGAACAAUGUCAAGUCAUCAUGCCCUUCUGUCCCAGUGAAAUAACAAGGCGGAGCCAAAAAAAUUCUACUAGGAAGAUUCAAAAGAAUCCAAACUUCCAUAAUGAGCAAAUAAACUUAAGUACACCAAUGGGAUUCAACAAUCAAUAUAUUUACAAAAAAAUCUAUCCUUUUAUGCUAAUUAUACAAUGUAUGGCCUAGUGGCCAAUGAAGAGGAUAGGAACCAUGAGGUCUAACGUUCGUAUCCCAGCAGAGACGAAAACACUAGAUGAUUUCUUUACAUCUACCCUAGACGUGGUGGAUAUAGUUACCUAGUACUUCUUGAUGGUGGGAGGUGGCAGGCUAUAGAUCGAACUCCCCAGAAAUGUUGUUGCACCAAUGUCGGAUCCUUCGAAAACGAACUACUUUUGGAGGAUCAUGUCCUUCUGUCUCAGGGAAAUAACAGGACGGAGCCAAAAAAAUUCUACUAGGAAGAUUCAAGAGAAAAAAUUCUACUAGGAAGAUUCAAGAUAAUCCAAACUUCCGUAAUGAGCAAAUAAACUUAAGUACACCAAUGGGAUUCAACAAUCAAUAUAUUUACAAAAAAAUCUAUCCUUUAUGCUAAUUAUACAAUGUAUGGACUAGUGGCCAAUGAAGAGGAUAGGAACCAUGAGGUCUAACGUUCGUAUUCCAGUAGAGACGAAAACACUAGAUGAUUUCUUUACAUCUAUCCUAGACGUUGUGGAUAUAGUUACCUAGUACCUCUUGAUGGUGGGAGGUGGCAGGCUAUGGAUCGGACUCCCCUGAAAUGUUGUUGCACAUAUGUCGGAUCCUUCGAAAAUGAACUACUUUUGGAGGAUCAUGCCCUUCUGUCUCAGGGAAAUAACAGGGAGGAGCUAAAAAAAUUCUACUAGGAAGAUUCAAGAGAAUCCAAACUUCCGUAAUGAGCAAAUAAACUUAAGUACAUCAAUGGGAUUCAACAAUCAAUAUAUUUACAAAAAAAUCUAUCCUUUAUGCUAAUUAUACAAUGUAUGGACUAGUGGCCAAUGACGAGGAUAGGAACCAUGAGGUCUAAUGUUCGUAUCCCAGUACAAAAACCCUAGAUGAUUUCUUUACAUCUAUCCUAGACUUUGUGGAUAUAAUUACCUAUUGAUGGUGGGAGGCUAUGAAUCGAACUCCCCUGAAAUGUUGUUGCACCUAUGUCGGAUCCUUUGAAAACGAACUACUUUUGGAGGAUCUGACCCCCCCCCUCCCCCCGACAUUUUUGAAAUGUCCAAGCAACAUGAGUGGCAGGCAUCCAUCGAAUUAGUCAAGGUGCGCAAGCUAGCCCAGACGCUAUGGUUAUUCAUUAAAAAAAGUUACUACUUAUGUCUUCAUAAAUGUUGUAUUUGCUCUCUAACUAUGUAAGUAAUGUGUACAGUUUAUUCUUUCCAGACACCACGGUAAAUUUAUUGUUAUUGUUGCUAAUUAUACCAAGUAACUUUUCCAACAAAGGGGAUUCAAUCCUCUCUGGAAGCAAAAAUAAUGCAUAUAUUUAUAAAAUUCAAAAUUUGCAUAAAUAGGAAUGUACGUGUUCAAACAAUCAUUAAACAAAAACAAAGUGAAGAAAUUUACCAAUAAAUUUAGUAUUCCAGGUAGAGUAGAACCAAAUAAAUAGAUAUAUUUGAUUUAUAAGGGUUUAACUAGGGCUAGUGGGGGGCGAUGAAUACUUUGUUUGAAAGUUCAAUAAUGUUUGACAACUAGAUGGGAUGGGCGGGGACUUAUACAUUUUGCAUCUACCCAAAUCUUGUAUCAGUCCACUUGCUAAUUGUAUUAGCAGUAUAAUUUUGAUGGCAAUGCAAACAUUUCGCUUUAACUAGUUUACCAUUUUCAAAUAUCUUUUUGAAAUGUUCCCAAACAGUGUGUCAAUUGAGUUGUCACUGCUAUUAUCAGGCAGUGUUUAGUGAAAACAAAAUUUGAAAGAGAAAACAAAAUUAACAGUGUUUAACGGCCGAACUUAUUUCACAAAAUCAGAAAAAUCAAUUUACAGAAUCAGUCAAUCAGAAAAAUCACCAAAAAAACUCAAGACUCUUCACCAAAUCACUGAUUAAAAUAAAAAGGCAGAAAAGGGAAGAAGAAGAAAAAGAAAAACAAAAAGAAGAAGAAAAAAACGAUACCUAGUUAGCCGCUGGUUCGGUGCUGAUUCGUUGUUGCUCCGGUGGUUUCGUCAUUUGUCGCCAUCAGUGUUAACAGUAUUAGUAUUUUAGGUUGCUAAGUACCAAGUGCUGAAGUACUGAAGAGGGAAGUGUAUUAGCCAUUAGGUAUUACCGUAUCAUCCUAUUAGGUUGGGUACCGGUAAAUCAAAUAAAUGAUUUAUCGGUAACCAACCUAAUAGGCUGAUACGGUAAUGUCUAAUGUUCUCUCUUCACUACUUCAGCACUUGGUACUUGGCAGCCUAAACCCUAAUACUGUAAUACCAACAGCGACGAACGAUGGACACUAGACAGCGACGAACCCACCGGAGCAACAACGAACUAGGUAUCGUUUUCUUUUCUAUUUUUUUCUUCUUCUUUUUGUUUUUCUUUUUCUUCCCUUUUCUAUCUUUUUAUUUUAAUCAGUGAUUCGGUGAAGAGUGAGAUUUUUUGGCGAUUUUUCUGAUUUUGUGAAAUAAGUUCGGUUGUUAAACACUAAACACUGUUAAUUUUGUUUUCUCUUUCAAAUUUUGUUUUCACUGAACACUGUUAGUGCGGCUGGUUCAACUGAUCUUGUACCUGAUAAUAGCAAUGAACACUCAGUUGACACACUGCUUGGGAACAUUUCGAAAAGAUAUUUGAAAAUGGUAAACUAGUUAAAGCAAAAUGUUUGCAUUGCCAUCAAAAUUAUAUUGCUGAUACAAUUAGAAAAUGGAACAAGUGGACUGAGACAAGAUUUGGAUAGAUACAAAAUGUAUAAGUCUCUGCCUAGUUGUCAAACAUUGUUAAACUUUCAAGCAAAGUAUUCAUCGCCCCCCACUAGCCCUAGUUAAACCCUAAUCUUCCUGGAAUACGAAAAGAGCAUAAGAUUAAUUUAUUGGUAAAUUUCUUCACUCUGUUUUUGCUUAAUGAUUGUUUGAACAUGAACGCGUACAUUUCUAAUUAUGCAAAUUUUGGAUUUUAUAAAUGUAUGCAUUAUUUUUGCUUCCAAGUGUGUGUGGGUGGGUGGGGGUCUAUGUUUGUUAAGAAGGUUAAAUUGAAUCCCCUUUGUUGGAAAAGUUACUUGGUAUAAUUAGCAACAAGAACAACAAAUUUACCGUGGUGUCCGGAAAGAAUAGACGGUACGCAUUACUUAUACAGUUAGAGAGCAAACACAAUAUUUAUGAUGACAUAAGUAGUAGUUUUUUGCUUAUGAAUAACCGUGGUGUCUGAGCUAGCUUGCGCACCUCGACUAAUUCUACGGAUACUUGCCACCUAUGUUGCUUGGACUCUUCAAAAAUAUCGGGAGGGGAUGGAUCCUCCAAAAGUAGUUUUUUUUCAAAGGAUUCGACAUUGGUGCAACAAAAUUUCAGGGGAGUCCAAUAUAUAACCUGCCACCUCCCACCCGCAAGAGGUAAUAGGUAACUAUAUCCACCACGUCUAGGAUAGAUAAAAAGAAAUCAUCUAGUUUUUUGUCUCUGCAAGGAUACGAACGUUAGACCUCAUGGUUCCUAUCCUCUUCAUUGGCCACUAGGCCAUACAUUGUAUAAUUAGCAUACGACAACAACAACAGACCCAGUGUAUUCCCACGUCUAGGGAGGGUAAGAUGUACGCAGUCCAUACCGCUAUCUCCGAAGAAGUAGAGAGAUUGUUUCUGAUAGACCUCCGGCUCAAGAUAAAGAACAGUAAACAAUGGGAUGGAUGACAUAAUAGAAAAUCAGGAAUAAGAAAUAAUAGAAUAGAUAUCAGACAAAUAUGAAAUACGAGACAUAAGGACCACACGAAAUAAGAAAAUAGGUACUAAGACAUAAGACAUAGGACACCUACAUAGUCGUAACCUACACUAACAUAACAGGGUCACUUAUGUACACAUACCUAGGAUUACUAACCCGACUACAUAAGAAACUCUUCUGACUGCAUGCUACAACCCACACACUCACAUUAGCCUUUUACCCUUAUCCGCGACCUCCACAUCUUCCUAUCUAGGGUCAUGUCCUCAGCUGAAGCUGCUCCAUGUCAUGUCUAAUCACCUCCCUCCAGUAUUUCUUCGAUCUACCUCUACUCCUCCUGAAGCCAUACAAAGCAAGCCCAUCACACCUCUGAACAGGGGCAUCUGCGCCCCUCCUCAUCACAUGGCCAAACCAUCUCAGCAUAACAGGCUAAUUUUUUUUGUAAAUAUAUUGAUUGUUAAAUCCCAUUGGUGUACUUAAGUUUAUUUGCUCAUUAUGGAAGUUUGAAAAUUUUCUUGAAUCUUUCUAGUGGAACUUUUUUGGCUCCGCCCUGUUAUUUCCCUGGGACAAAAGGGCAUGAUUACUUGACAUUGUUCGUACUACAUAUACAAUAUAGAUGAGGUAUGCAAGGGUAGUUUGUCGGGAAAAUACAUGUAUAGACAUAUAUGGAGUUUAAGGUAGUGUGUGCAUUUUAACUUGCUACAUACAUAGCAGAUUCACUGCCAAGGGCAUAAUCGUAUGACGAUUGGGCAUCAUCCUUAGGAUAAUGUUUUAUCUAAGCACAUUUUUUGUAUGUUAUUAUUAUUAUUUUAUUUUAUUUUAUUUUAUUUUUUGCAUUGGAUCAGAGCUGUAAUUAGAAUUUUUGUGCAUACUCAAACAACAUUGUGCUGAUGGCAGUGGGUGCAAUAGCAAUUGGUACACAUUAUAUAAUAGAUUCAUCGCAUAGAUUUGAACAUCAUCCUCACAUUCCUCAGGAUUAUUAGGAUAAAGUUCUUUUAGCACGUUUUCCCACAGGGUUGCCCAGUGGUGAGAACCGUAGAUUAUGACAUGUGGGUUAGGUGCAUGUCACACGUUUGAGCCUUGCUGCAGAAAAAGUGUGGUAUUUAAGUGGAGAAGGGAAGAGGGCUAGAGCUAUUAACAUUGAGUUCCAAACCUAGCAUCACUAGCCCUCAAAAAUCUUCUCGGUUAUCAAAAAAACAAAAGAUCUUUUAGCAUAUUUGUAUUAUUUUUUUUUGCUUUGAGAUAAAACCGGUAACUAGACUUUUUGAUCCAAGUUUUGUCUUUUAUCGCAUAGCUCCUUAAAGAUGGAUGGUAAUAAUCUACCAACAGAAAUUGAUGUGUUUUAUCUUUCUAGUCUUUGUUUAUAUGUAAGGAAUAUUUCAGACUGUCUGUAUGGUUAUUUGGUUAUCACACAUUUGUUGGUAAAUCCAACCUUCCAAGUUUCUAGAUAUUUGCAUUCUAUGUGAAACAUUGCGUCUGAAACUUUUUUGGGUUAUCUUACACCUUCUCCUAUUUCCUUAUGUAUACAUUUAGUGAAUUUAUCUCUCUACACAAAAAAGGAGGUGAAUCCUUCUCAUCAGCCUAGCUUUGAUAGGUAGGAUUAUGUGGUACCUGUGCAACUUGCACGUAUCUAGUGGAUUAGUCGAUAUGCUAACAAGAUGGGUCUGGAUAUUAGUGCAAUAUAAAGAAACAAAAAAUAUGGUAGAAGUCUCAUAAAAUAGGUCAAUUGGAGGUAGGGGGACCCGAUUAUAUCAGAACAGGCAAGUCAUAUAUGGUGAAUGUUGCAUCUUGUUAGUAAUAUGGGUUUUUUCAUUUUUCCUAUUUUACUUUCCUAUUUUCCUGACCAGACCGCCGGCUACGACCUCCGGUCGCCGGCUCUCCCUCUCUCUCUCUCUCCCUACCCCCUCUCCAUCCCAAGCGCACCGGCCCCCGGUCCCCGGCNNNNNNNNNNNNNNNNNNNNNNNNNNNNNNNNNNNNNNNNNNNNNNNNNNNNNNNNNNNNNNNNNNNNNNNNNNNNNNNNNNNNNNNNNNNNNNNNNNNNNNNNNNNNNNNNNNNNNNNNNNNNNNNNNNNNNNNNNNNNNNNNNNNNNNNNNNNNNNNNNNNNNNNNNNNNNNNNNNNNNNNNNNNNNNNNNNNNNNNNNNNNNNNNNNNNNNNNNNNNNNNNNNNNNNNNNNNNNNNNNNNNNNNNNNNNNNNNNNNNNNNNNNNNNNNNNNNNNNNNNNNNNNNNNNNNNNNNNNNNNNNNNNNNNNNNNNNNNNNNNNNNNNNNNNNNNNNNNNNNNNNNNNNNNNNNNNNNNNNNNNNNNNNNNNNNNNNNNNNNNNNNNNNNNNNNNNNNNNNNNNNNNNNNNNNNNNNNNNNNNNNNNNNNNNNNNNNNNNNNNNNNNNNNNNNNNNNNNNNNNNNNNNNNNNNNNNNNNNNNNNNNNNNNNNNNNNNNNNNNNNNNNNNNNNNNNNNNNNNNNNNNNNNNNNNNNNNNNNNNNNNNNNNNNNNNNNNNNNNNNNNNNNNNNNNNNNNNNNNNNNNNNNNNNNNNNNNNNNNNNNNNNNNNNNNNNNNNNNNNNNNNNNNNNNNNNNNNNNNNNNNNNNNNNNNNNNNNNNNNNNNNNNNNNNNNNNNNNNNNNNNNNNNNNNNNNNNNNNNNNNNNNNNNNNNNNNNNNNNNNNNNNNNNNNNNNNNNNNNNNNNNNNNNNNNNNNNNNNNNNNNNNNNNNNNNNNNNNNNNNNNNNNNNNNNNNNNNNNNNNNNNNNNNNAGUGGGGGGCGCGUGGAUAGCGACGGUAGGCUGAGGGUUGGGUCUUGGAAUAUAGGGACCCUUCAGGGGAAGUCCAUAGAGCUGGUGAAGAUUCUUAGGAAGAGAAGGAUCAACCUUGCGUGUGUCCAAGAGACCAAGUGGGUAGGGUCUAAGGCUAGGGAUGUGGACGGUUACAAGCUGUGGUACUCUGGGAGCGACAGGCGUAGGAAUGGAGUUGGCAUCUUGGUAGAUGAAGAGCUUAGAGGUCAGGUAGUGGAGGUGAAGAGGAUCAACGAUAGGUUGAUGACUAUCAAGUUGGUCAUUCGGGGGUUUACCCUGAACGUGUGUAGUGCCUAUGCGCCGCAUGUGGGAUCGGAGGGGGAGGAGAAGAUGCGGUUCUGGGAGGCCUUGGAGGACGUGGUGAGAGGCGUGCCCAGUUCGGAGAAGAUUGUGGUAGCAGGGGAUUUCAACGGGCACAUCGGGGCGCUACCGGGAGGCUUUGGGGAUGUGCAUGGAGGUUUUGGUUUUGGGGAGAGAAAUGAAGAGGGGGCGACCCUAUUGGAGUUUGCGAGGGCGUUUGGGCUGGUGGUGGUGAACUCGGGCUUCCCGAAGAAGGACGACCACCUGAUCACUUUUCGGAGCGCGGUAGCCAGGACCCAGAUUGACUUCUUGUUGCUUAGGAAAGGGGAUAGGGCGCUGUGUAAAGAUUGUAAAGUCAUCCCGAGUGAGAACCUUUCGACCCAACAUAGGCUCUUGGUUAUGGAUUUGGGUAUGAAGAAGAAUAAAAAGAGGAGGAGUAAGGAGUGUAGACCGAGAAUUAAGUGGGGCGGUUUGACGCCAGUGAAUGCGUGGGAGAUAGGGGAGAGGUUGGCGGGAAUGGGGGUGUGGGAGUGUAGGGGGGACGUGGAUAAUAUGUGGGACAGGGCGGCAGCGUGCAUCAGGGAAAAUGCAAGGGAGGUGUUGGGUGUUUCUAGGGGCCGGGCCGGACAUCAUCGGGGGGAUUGGUGGUGGAAUGAAGAGGUGGGGAAGAAAGUGGAGACCAAGAAAGAGUCGUAUGCUAAGUUGGUGGAAAGUAAGGACGAAGAGGAGAAGCGGGUAAACAGGAAAGAGUACAAGCUAGCAAGGAAGGAGGCGAAGUCAGCGGUCACGGCAGCUAAGACGGCUGCUUUUGAGAGCUUGUAUGCAGGGUUACAGGGGAAAGGAGGGGAGAAAAAGUUGUUCCGACUCGCUAAGGCUAGGGAGAGGAAGGGUCGUGACCUCGAUCAGGUGCGGUGCAUUAAGGGGGAGGACGGUAGAGUGUUGGUGGAGGACGGCCACAUAAAGAAGAGAUGGCAGUCGUACUUUCAUAGGCUCUUGAAUGACGAGGGGGACAGAGCUAUUGUGUUAGGGGAACUGGAGCACUCAGGGGAGUGUCGGGAUUUUAGCUAUUGUAGACGUUUUAAGGUAGACGAGGUUAGACAGGCAGUCCGCAGGAUGCGAAGGGGUAGGGCGACGGGGCCGGAUGAGAUACCGGUGGAGUUUUGGAAGUUCGUUGGAGAGGCUGGUGUAAGGUGGUUGACUGCAUUGUUCAAUGAAAUUUUCAGGACAGCAAAGAUGCCCGAGGCGUGGAGGUGGAGUACCAUGAUCCCCCUCUAUAAGAAUAAGGGGGACAUUCAGUGUUGCAAUAACUAUAGGGGGAUUAAGUUACUGAGUCACUCUAUGAAGAUCUGGGAGAGAGUGGUCGAGGUGAGGCUGAGACGGAUAGUGUCUAUCUCGGAAAAUCAGUUCGGAUUUAUGCCCGGCCGCUCGACGACGGAGGCAAUUCACCUGGUACGGCGGUUGGUGGAGCAAUAUAGGGAAAGGAAGAAGGAUUUGCACAUGGUGUUCAUCGACCUAGAAAAGGCGUACGACAAAGUCCCCAGGGAGGUGCUUUGGAGAUGCUUGGAGGUGAGUGGAGUACCGCAGGCAUAUAGCAGAGUAAUUAAGGAUAUGUAUGAGGGAGCGAAAACCCAGGUGAGGACGGCGGGAGGAGACUCAGAGCAUUUCACUGUCCUGACAGGAUUGCAUCAGGGAUCUACUCUUAGUCCCUUUUUGUUUGCGCUAGUAAUGGAUGUGUUAACGCGGCGUAUCCAAGGGGAGGUGCCGUGGUGUAUGCUUUUUGCAGACGAUGUAGUCCUGAUAGAUGAGACGCGAGGGGGUGUGAACGACAAAUUAGAGCUGUGGAGGCAAACUCUGGAGUCUAAAGGGUUCAGGGUGAGCAGAACCAAGACAGAGUAUGUGGAAUGUAAGUUUAAUGACGUAAGGCGAGAGAAUGAGGUAGUGGUGAGGCUAGAAGCGCAGGAGGUAAAGAAAAGGGAUAAGUUCAAGUACCUCGGGUCCGUGAUCCAGAGUAACGGUGAGAUUGACGAGGAUGUCUCGCACCGUAUCGGGGCGGGAUGGAUGAAGUGGAAACUUGCAUCGGGGGUGCUGUGUGAUAAGAAGGUGCCGCCCAAGCUUAAAGGUAAAUUCUAUAGGGUGGUAGUCCGUCCGGCCUUGCUGUAUGGAGCGGAGUGUUGGCCAGUUAAGAACUCCCACACCCAAAGAAUGAAGGUGGCAGAAAUGCGGAUGUUGCGCUGGAUGUGUGGACUGACCCGAAGGGAUAGAGCUCGGAAUGAGACUAUCCGGGAGAAGGUUGGUGUGACUUCAGUGGAGUGUAAGAUGCGGGAAGCACGAUUGAGAUGGUUCGGACACGUGAAGAGGAGGGGCAUGGAUGCCCCGGUCCGUAGGUGUGAGAGGCUAGGGUUGGAUGGUUUUUGACGGGGUAGGGGUAGGCCGAAGAAGUACUGGGGUGAGGUGAUUAGGCGGGACAUGGAACAGUUACAGCUCACCGAGGACAUGACCCUAGAUAGGAAGGUCUGGAAGACGCGAAUUACGGCAGAGGAUUAGGGCCUGUUCGGGUCGCUAAUGUAGGGAGGUAAUUGGUGGGGGUGUAUUCCUGGUAUGAUUCCGUAUUCAAUGUUCUGUUCCGUGUUCCGUGUUCUAUGUUUGUUACGAAUCUGUGUGCUUUCCUCUGCUUUAUAUUCCUGCUUUCCUGCUUUACUCUGUUUUAUAUUCCUUAUGGGUGCCGUAUCUAUGUUAUGUCAUCUGCUUCUGUGCUUUACUAUGUGUUUGUGUGAUAUCUCGGGACUUGAGCCGGGGGUCUUUCGGAAACAGCCUUUCUACUUCAUCAGAGGUAGAGGUAUGGACUGCGUACAUCUUACCCCCCCAGACCCCACUAAGUGGGAAUACACUGGGUUUGUUGUUGUUGUUGUUGUUGCUUGUCCAAUAGUGUCACAUACAAGCGAUUUUAACAAUUUAAAUAGCUAAAGUUCAAACAUAUGAUCUCACUGUGUGGGAAUAUACUAGGUUGUUGUUGUUGUUGUAAAGUUCAAACAUAUAAACAUUUAGUUCAUUACUAAAAUAAGUUGUAUAUUUAUUAAUAUGUUAAAUAUAUAAAUAUGUGUGUGUGUGUUUCGUUAUGUCAUUUAUAAAUAUCAAAUACCAAAAAAAAUUUAAAUGUAUAUCAUAUCCACACCAAAUACCACAAUAACAAAAUCAUGUUGUUGUUGUUUACUCUAAAUAACUUGACACAACGCUUGAGAAACAACUUCUCCACCUCCACGAGAUAGUGGUAAGGUCUUUGUACACUCUACCCUCCCUAGACUCCACCGGUAAAAUUUCACCGGAUACAUUGUUGUUGUUGUUUACUUACUCUAAACUAGGGCAAAGGGAUUACUAAUACAUAGAUUAACCCAAUUAAAUAAAAUUGUGAAAUAUAAUCAAGGAGCUUGAAAUCUUUGAGCAAACAGCCUAAGAAACCUUAUCACUACCUCAUUGCGUACACUCUACUCUCCCUGGAUUCCACAGGAUAUGUCGUUGUCUACUCUCAACAACACAUAACCCUUAAGAAACAGUCUCUCUACCUCCACGAGGUAGUGGUAAGAUCUGUGUACACUGUACCCUCCCCAAACCCCACUCGUGGGAUUUCACUGGAUAUGCUGUUGUUGUUUUUACUAUAAGCAACUUGAAGAGUCUAUGCCCGAAUAAACAUAAAAUAUAAGAUGCUUUGACCCAUCACCUAAAUUAGGAUAAAGGGAGUACUAAUACAUAAUUUAACCCAAUCAACUAAGAUUGUGAAAUAUAAUCAAGAAAAUUACGAAUCUUUGAGGAAAAGGGAAUUCUUCAGCAAUUAAGAUGAAAAUAAAAACAAUUACAACAAAUGGGUACCUUAAUUCAAGGCCAAAGAUGUUAACUGUAAUGCUUCAAAGGGAAUGAAAUUGUUGAAGUGAAGCAAAGUGAUGGGCAAAAGGUCCGCAGGAGAAGUGUCCGAGAGAGAAAGAGUAGAGGGUUUUAGCCAUUUAGGGAAAGGAACUAGGUUUAAUUUCAUAGACUUAACUCAUUUCACUUUUUAAACUACUUCCUCUGCUACAUUUUACACUAUUUCUUUUUAAUUCAUCCCAAAUGUCACCUUGUUAUAAUUAAAAAAAAAUACAAUUCCUUUUUUACCCCAAAUAAAUUAUUUAUAAAUAUAUGAGUAUUUAAGGAUUAUUUUAAAUUAUAAAUUUAAAAAAUCUUUCUUUUUUAAUUAUUAUCAAGUCAAAAAGUCAUAUACAUUGAGAUAAAUGAAAAAUGUAGUUACAAUUAUUUAAAUAACUGAAAAGGGCCUAAAACCCUCACCUAUUGAAAAUGGUGCAAAAAUGUUCUCCAUUCAUUUUUUGGUUCAAUAAUACCAUUCACAUCCACCUUUGGACUCCAAAAUGCCCUUUACAUUUAUCUUUAGGCUUCAAAAUACUCUUUAUUUAACAUUUUCAAUAUUAAAUAAAUGAAAAGGUUUCACUAAUGAAGUGACACAUUUCCAUUGGUCCGCAUUUUAUUAAUUAAAAAUAUUAAAAAGUCCCAACUCACAAUGUCUUAUUUUGAAAUUCAUGAUCUAGUACUUUUUGUGGGUUGAAAUUCACGUGAUGAACAGAUAAAAACUUGUUGUGUACUAAUCGAACAUACCAUGAUUCUUAGAACAGAGCAAUUCUCACCACAUGAUUUUUACAAGCUGAUAUCCUGAUUAUGGGAGCUUCACUUUUAGAAAUCUUUUGAAGUAUACGAAAAGAAAUAAUUCUUUGCCUGGUGAACUACAAUGCUAUAGUGCAUGUAAAUGAAAAAGAGGGUUUAGAAAUUAGUUGUAGUAAGAUCAAUAGAUGAUUUUGUUUGCUUCUAGCUAAUUUUCUCUAAAGUGAUAUCAAUGAUAAUACAAUAACACCGACCUGGUAAAAUGUGUUGUGAGAAGUAGUCUUGGAAUUAUUACUUUGUAUCUAAAUAUAUCAAAGUACUUUGUCAUGUCAUUUGGUUAUAAGGUUCAGUAAAUCUCAUUUCACCUUCCACGCAUAAAAUAAGCCAUGAUAAUUUACCUCUAAAACAAAGAUCAAUAAGCAAAUUUUGGUUUGAUUUCAUGAACUCUAAAAGAAGAAGGUAACUUAUGGUGCAAUCCUUAUAAUAAAGGAUACUAGACACAUAUAUUCAUUCAUAAAACAAAGAUGCACACAUUGGCAUGAUUUCUCAACAAAAAGUACUAAAACAUUAAUAUAUUAAUAUUAAGCGCCGAGUAUAAAUGAGGUAAGGGUUAUGGGUUAGAAUUUUUAAAUUUUCUUAAAUAAUAAAAUGACGGCCAAUGGAAAUGUGUCUCUUUAUUAAUAAAAUAUUUUUUUAUUUAUUUAAUAUUGAAAAUGUUAAAUAAAGGGCAUUUUAGAGUCCAAAGGUAGAUGGGAAGAGCUUUUUAGAGCCCAAAGGUGGAUGGAGGGCAUUUUUGCAUAAUUUUCAACAUGUGAAGGGCAUUUUAGGCCUUUUUCUUUUUAAAUAAAAGCAUUUUUGAGCAAAAUAAUUUAAUUUUAGAAAUUUGACCAAACGUAAUUACAAUAAUUCUUACAUCUAUUUUGGUUUAGUUAAAGUAUUAUUACUAUUCAGUUUAAAAUAAUUACUUACUUCAUCUCAUUUUAUGUGAUACUCUUUGACUUGAUAAUAUUUAAAAAAGAAAUAUCUUUUAAAAUUUAUAAUUUAAAAUAAUCCCCAAAUGUUCGUGUUGUUAUAAAUAUUUCAUUAAGGUUAAACAAGAAAAGUGUAAUUUUUUUUUUUAAUUAUAACAAAGUGACAUUUGGGACGGAUUAAAAAGAAAGAAUAUUGUAUAAAAUGUAGCGGAGAAAGUAGUUUAAUAAAUGAAAUUAAUUAUUACUACUAUAUAUAAGCGUGAGUAGCAGACAACUGAAGCAAGCGACCGACAAUUGUUAUGCCUGCUUUCAGCUGCUUGCUUUUGGUCAAGGGCAUUUUUGUAAUUUCAUGUUUUCGUUUUAAUUUAAUUAUUUUAUUUUUAUUUUUAACUUGUUAUGUAUUUGAAACUUAUGUAAAAAGUAUUAUAAAUUACAGUAAUUAAUAAUUUAAAUUUAAGUUAUUUAAUAAAAAUUUUUGGUCGACUCAAAAUUCUAUUAGUGCAACGUACAUUGCGAUAUAUUAUUUGAAAAUUUCGUAAAAAGUAAUAUAAAACACGAUAAUGCAACAUAAAUUGGGAUACAUUAUUUGAAAUUUUCAUAAAAAUAAUAAAAAUCACAAUAAUUAUCAAACUAAAAUAUUUGACAGAUGUAUAAAAAAAUUGUUUGACUUUUCAAAUGUUACCAAUGUCAUAUAAAUUGGGACAGAGGGAGUAUUACUUGAAUAUUAUGUAGGAAGUCGUAUGAAUCAUAAUAUAAUUAACAACCUAAAAUAUCUAAAACUAUAUAACAAACUUUAAAUAUCUAAAACUAUAUAACAAAUUUGAUUGACUUUCUCAAAUAUUCUAUCAGUGUCACAUAAAUUGAGACAAAAAGAGUAGCAUAUAGACCUAAAAAUUAUGUAAAAGCACUAUAAAUCAAUAACUAAUAACGUAAAUUUUUUAAAAAUAUGAAAAAAAAAUUUGUUGUCUUUUCAAUUUCAUCCAUACCACAUAAAUUAGGAUAAAAAAGUACUCAUUUCAUUCCUUUUUAAUUGCUUCAUUCGUUUUUCGUGUAUUAAUUUGACUAAAUUUUAAAGUUAAAAUUUGAUUAGAUUAUUUAAUUUUUAAAAAUUAAAAUUUUAGAUAUUCAAAAACUACAUGACAAGUAAGACAAAUUAUAGUUUUUCUUCUUCAUUUUGAUUAAGAAAUACAUCUUAAAAUAUUGGUCAAAGUUUGUAUCGUCCGAUUUUUAAAAAAUGAAGCAAUUAAAAAGGAACAAAGGUAGUAUCAUACAUUGACUGACACGGGCUCCAAUAUCUAAGUAUGAAAUUAAACUUAGGUCCUUUAUCUAAACUGCUAAAACCUUGCCUAAAAUCCUCUAUGCUUUUUCACUCUUGAACACUUCUCCUGUGGACCUUUUGCGUCCAUACACUCUACUAUUCCCGUACACCACUUUGUGAGACUACUUAGGUACGUUGUUUUUAUUAUUGAUUCAUGUUGGAUUCAUUGAUUUCUAAAAUUGAAAACACUAGAUGUCAUUGCUUACAUCUACCAAAUCUUGUCUAUGCAGCCAAUGAAAACUUUGCCUACACCUACCAAAUCUUCUUGCAUGCCAACCUAUGUGGACUUUUCUGUCCAGCAGCUUUUACUAGUUUUCAAAGUGUGUGCAGAUUUUUCAAAGUCUAAUAGGUGUGCAGAUUUUCCAGCUGCAUGUGCAGAUUUUUCAACUUUUCUAGCUUGUUGUUGACAAUUGUAUAGGAAGAUUUUCUUGCAUUUGUUGUACCUUUUUGACUUAAGGACUUUUAGGGACUAUAAAUAUAUAUUGUAAGCUCUCAUAGGCAGCAGCACAUGCUUGUUUUAUUCAGAAAAUAUACAAGAAAAACUUGGCUCUUUGGCCUCCCAAAAACAUUGUCUUCCUUUAGUGCCUUUCCUUGCUUGUUUGUGUGAAUGUUCAUUGAUUCUUGGGAACUUUUUUAGUGGGGUUGAGGGCUGACUUUAGCAUCACUUUUGAGUGUGUUAAGCUGUCCGCACGCGACUUCAAAUAGGCUUGUGACAAGAAGCAAUUAUCAAGUCCAGCCCUUCUUCUUCCAGGCACUAGUUUGUCUAUCGCACUGAGGUAUGUAAGACUACUACUACUUUGUAAUUCUUUGGGAUUCAUUUUCUCCAAUUCAAGUUGUUACAAGAUAGAUUAGGAUUGAAUAAAUUCUCAUAGUCCUAUUUUCCUAAAGGGUUCUUGAGAUGCCUUUGGGUAAACUCCUUAUCACCCAAUUUCUCCUAAAUAUGAUCUCAAUCCUCAUAUAAAUUAUAAAUCCCAGAUUGUUUCUCUACGAUUUUGUCAUGUAUUUUGUAUUUUUUGAUUUAUACUUUAUUUCUUGGUUUGCCGAAAAGAUUAGUACUCCAUUUGUUCUUCAAGGACUUUGUCUGUGUUGGGAAAUCUUAUGACUUAUGAAAUUCAUGUAUUUUGUAAAAUUCUUGAACUUUGAUAUUUAUUGAUUGAAUGAUCUAAUUAUUUUUCAUGAUUACUGGAGUCUCUUCACUAUUGGUCAUGCUAACUAAAAAGUACCCUUUUGAAGUUACUCCAUAAUUCCCAUCAUACUAUUACACCUUUAACUAUGCUAAAAUGACUUGAAUCUUUCAAAAUCUCCAAAAUUUUCAUUAUGCUAUGAAAUCUAUUUUUUUUUUAACUGACAUGAUAAUUUGGUCUGCAGGACUUCUUAACAGUAUGAAAUUUCUUCAAGAAUAUCCUCAUGGGAUCAUAUAUAAUCUCCAUAAUCUUAAGCUAUGUUAAAAGUGGCAUGAACACAUCCAGAAUCUCAUUCUUCAUAAAGUUACAAGAAUCUAGAUCUUAUGAACCAUGACAACAUGUAUUAUAAUACUACUUUCCCUAAGUCUCUAAUAACAUUAAUGAACGAUGUAACUUAUCAAGUAUGAGCCUAAAAUGGCUAAUUCAUAAUUCAUGAGCCUAAAGUGGCUAACUCGAGACAUGUGCCUAAAGCAGUUAACUUAUGGAUACUAGUCAAGAAAAUUUAAAAACAGAACUUUAUGAGCCUAAUAAGGCUAACCUUUGAACAUGAAUUCAUAAAGAUAACAUCAUGAGCAUAAGGGAGUUAGUUAGCUGACCGUGAAGGCAUAGGUCCAAAUGACAAAUGCUCAAAACUAUGUUUGCCGACAUAGGAUAGAGAUCAUUCCGCAAGUCGAAUGACUCAUAUUUUUUCAUUGUCCCAAAAAGGGACUAACCAUGGAUACUUGCUAGCAAAUUAUGUCAUGUCAUGUCUUAUGUCCGGCAAGGUAUAGGAAGGCUUAGCUGAUCGGGCCGAGAUCAGACUCCAUGCGCUCACAUGGUGGUUUAUAACGGUUCACUACUCUCUCCCACAAAUAACUAAAGGGAUUAAUUUAUUCUACGUUAUCAAUUAUUUUUCAGCUUAUGCUCCUAUUCUUUUCCACCUUAUCAUGUUUUUAAUUAUACUUAUCAUCUUUGUAUUUUCAUGUUUUAUUACUUUCUUAUGUAGUGGUUUUGCAUACCAAUACAUUCCACGUAUUGAUCGUCUUGGACACUGCAUUGUCUUAUAAUGCAGGUUUUGAGACAUACAUUUGUAAUUUCAUGGAUAACUAGGUCCAAUCAAAUGAGCUGUUGGUGAGCCCUCCAUUUUUUCAGAAGGCACUACUUAUAUUGUUACUGACUAGUUCUAUGUUUUGGAGUAUGUCGGGAUCUUCUUUCCUAUUGACAUUGAUUCAUAUGUUUAGAGGCUUUGUAGACAGUAAUAAAUACCAUAUUCAGUUAUGUUCAGUUUUAUUCAUAUGGCCUUUGAAAUUUCCUCAAUCAAGAUUUAAGACUUUUUAUCAGUUUAUAAGAUAAAUAGGUUUUAUUCUUAAGUCUAUUACUCACCUUAUUUAAACAUUUCUUUCGCACAUGUGGAUGAAUGCUCCUGAUAUAAGUUAAGUGGUUCUCUCGGGCCAUUAAUGGUUUCGGGUGCCUAUUACGUCCUGGGUCUAGGUUCGGAUUGUGACAAUUGACUUUGUGUGUUCUAAGCUUGACAUAAAACAGAUAUCAACACAUUUAUGUGUGUUAAGACUACCGCAUUGGAAAAUAGAUGGGUAAUUAGUCUCCUUAUAUGGACUUGCAUAAUUCUCCCCUCACAAGUUAGCUUUUGGGGCUGAUUUAGGCACAAGAUCCAUUUUUUACAUGAUAUCAGAGCCAGAUCCUUCCCAAUUCUUUAUUUACCUAACAAAGUCUUAGCGUGCGGGUGUAUGGGAGUGUUAAGAGUCCGACAUCGAAAAAGAGAUGAGUAAUUGGUCUCCUUAUAUGGACUUGGACAAUUCAUUCCUCACGAGUUAGCUUCUGGGGUUGAGUUAGACCCAAGAUUCAUUCUUUACAAUGUGGCAUAUCUUAAAAUUUCAAGUUUUCAUGGCUUGUACUAUCAUUGUUGGAAAAUGAUACAAGCAAAAAGAGCACAAGGGUUACAAGGACUUGUCAAAGGUUCAAGCUUCGGAUUUGCAAGUGAUUGAAGACCUUUUGGAGCCUUUUUAAAGCCUUGUCCAAGUGAAGAGAGGAAGAGGGUUCUUACACUCAAGAGACACCUCUCAUUAAGGGCAUUAAGGACUUUUUACACUUCAACAUCAAUACUCAAGAGGCGCCUAUUCAAGGGUUCAUUAAGGGCAUUCUUGUUUUUUGAUGGCUCUCUUUUACACUCCAAAGAAGCACCCUUCAUUAAGGGUAUUUUGUCCUUAUUUGUAAUAAGUAUAAAUAGCCAUUUUAGCUUCCAUUUUCAUUAGCUUUGAUGAAUAUUGAAAGAAUACUCUUUAUUUUGUAACUUUAGUCUUCUCAGCUUAGCUAAUCUGAAAUUGAGUGUUGAAUACAUUUGGAAGGUUUUUCACUUGUAUUGAACAUUUGGCAAUAAAGGUGGAAUUGAAGGAGUGUGAGUCCUUUGGUUCACCUAAGAGUGGGGCUUGAACUUACAUUGUUGAGAUGUGUUUGAAGGUUUGAGACACCUUCUUAUGCUAAUCAUUGGUGGAAGUGAAGGCCUCUCUAUUAUUUUUACUUUAGGCAUCUCUUCUUCAUCUCUUUUCUUCUAUGUGUGUUGUUUUCUUUUUAGUGUAGUUGCUGUUUUUUGAGUUUUUAGUCCUUAAAUUCGGUUUUUAGCUUGUUUUAGACUAUCAUUUAGUAUCAAAACCGUGUAUUAGAGUUGUUCCCAUAACUCUAACCCUUGGAUCGAAGAAAAUCUCUACAAAAAAAAGAGUUUAGAGUCAAAAAAUACAAAAAAUAAGUGUUGUCUUGUGUGUUUGAUAGAAGAUCCGAAUUUCACAACUUAGAUCUACUAAUUUUUAGCUUGUUUUGUUGGUUUCAAGUGUUAGAUUCUUGUUCUCUAACACUUAAAAGAGUCUAGAUCUUAGUUUAGAACAAGAUUUGGUUGUUUUUUAGCUAGAUUCACCAUUGUUGUGCCUUGUUUGAAGCUUUUUGAGGUGGGAUAUCAUGGUGGAUACCUUAUUUGUGGCGUUUUGUGGCUAGUUUAUUGUUUUUUAUGCUUGUCUUGGCAAAGGGAACCUAGAUCUAUAAGAAAAUUUGAAUUUAGGGUUCAUUUGCCUAGUGGUCAAACCUUGGUCAACUCUUGAAUAUUCAUCUUGUUCAUCCAUCAUCUUCAAAUCUUGUUGAAGAAGAAUAUUCAAGUAGCUUGUUUGAUCUAAAAAGGAGAAGACAAAUAGUGUACUAAGUGUUUGUACAAGAAUAUUCCCUAGCAUAUUCUAAGUCUUCCAAAAAGGAAGAGGGGACAAGCAAGUAUAAUUGAAAGUACACUUGAAGGGACCAAUCUAUUUUGAAUUCAUUUGAAGCUCCAAAAGGGCUCCAAACCUUCAUUUUUUCCCUCUCAAACGAAAUUUCUUUUUCUCCUAAAUGUGUUUGGCUGAAACAAGAGAUUUGGAAUUGAAAAUUUGAAAAUUGACGUCCAACCACAAGCUGCCACGUCAUCACUUUAUGAACAACCAAAUUGAGUCCUAAAAUUAGAUUUCUUAGUUUCUAAUUUUUGAUUCUAGUUUCUUGUGUGUUAAACUCUAUCACUAAUGAGCAAGCUAGUAAGUACCUACUAGAUUGAUAAUUAGUUUUAAGUACAUUUGUUCGUAUCUUCGACUUUUAUGUGCUUUUCUCGUUUUUAAUUCGUAGUAGUUUGUUGGUUCAAGUCCUGGCAUCGUUUUAUUUGAGUCAUAUCACACAAAAAUUGAUUCUGGACCAAAGCAUAUUCACCACUCAUUCACUUGCCAAGUAUUACCAAGUUUUCAAUAAUUGUGAGACCAAGUGUGAGGUGAGAUCUGAGUGUGAGUGUGGUGAGGUUUAUCGAACUAACGUGUUUGUUCGUUUUGUAGGUUUUCCCUUUGCUAUUUUUUGCUUCUUUUUAGGUACAAUUGUGAUGGAAACCAAAGUUACCACAUCCCAACCUUUGGGAAAUGCUGUUUUGGGAGUCUUGAUGGCUCGGGUGGAUGCACUAAACCGAGACUUGAAGGGUGAUUUGGACAAUUUGAGAGGAAAUUUUAAUUCUUUAAAGGGUGAGGUGUCCACCAUUAGUGAAAGGCUUGAUAGUGUUGAAAGUAGGAUGAACUCACGACCAUCUAUUCGUAAUCCCUACCAUGUGUCUUCAAGUGUUCAAGCCAACAACUCCUCCAUGACCAUGACGCCCGAAACUCUCCACCAAAUGCUUUACCCUCCAAGAGUUCUACAAAACUAGCAACUAAACCAAGCCCAAAGAUCCUACACUCCACCAAAUUCAAAGCCACCAAUUCAAACACUCCCUCAACCAAAUUCGGUUCCCCCUCUCCAAACUUCCCUAAAUCGAACUCAAUCCAUCUAAGUAGGAGAAGUGGGAGAGUUAUCACCCAAGGAGAAUGAGUCUAAGCCUUAAGAUAGAGAGAAAACGAAUGGUGAGAUACAAGAAGGAUGUGAAGAAAGGAAGGGAAAGAAAAAGAAAGCCACAGGAAGUGAUAUUGGAAGGGAAAUAGAACACUUGAUUGUGGAUCUUGUCCACAAAGGACCCUUGUUAUUCACUAACCCGAAUGCUAGCAUUUUGCCUAGUAUUUUCUCUUCAUAUAUGCAGAUUCAAGGCCUUAGAAGUCCCAAGGAGAUGCCCAAGAAAGCUCCAUCCAAACCCUUGGCCGAAAGUCCCCAUUUUGGGACAAAUGAUGAAGAAGUGAGUCCAAAGGGAAAAUUUGACCUGUUCCAUUGUAAUGAGGAGCAUGAAGUCAACCCUAAUGCUAAACAAGGGAAAAAAUACACUUCCUAUGAUCCCCAAGGUAACAUUUCUACACUCUACACUUCCUUAAACUUAAAAUGUUGUGAUGUGGUUAGUAGUGGCCAAAGUGGUGUAGUUUCGGAUUUGCUUAGUGUAUGAGUGUAUGAAUCUUUCUUUUGUGAUACUCUUGGUGUUGUUAGGUUGCAUAAGGACUAGACUCUUGUAAUGAGUACGCAAGCACUAGUUGAUCCUUUAGAUGACAUAAUCGAUUCUUUUCGUAAGAAUGAUUUGUGUCCAUCUAGAGCUAGCACUUAUAACUUGAAUAAGGUUCCAUUACCAAGCGACAAGAGUAUUCACACACUAGUUGACCCUUGUGAAAAGCAAGGUGAGUCUACGUUGGUAUAUGCGUUGCCAACGACUAGUGAGGUUGUGAAUGAUGAUCAACUUACUCACGAAUGUAGUCCACUACUUGAGUUUAUGUAUGAUGUGCUUAAUGAGUCUCAAGUUAGUGAUGAUAUUGAUAGAGUUGAUCAUGAGAGUGGAGAUGAUUCUUUGAGCAUAUUGUGUGAUGAAAGUCUUAUUGUUAGUUUUGCUCAUAAAAAUCAUGAAAAUGAAAAUGAUGUGAAGAAUGACAUGUAUCUUUUUUAGAGUGAACUUGUAGGCUUAAACUUCUUACCUUUGAAUACUAAUCCCGUCUCAAAGAAAGAUGUCUUGUGUGAAGUUGGUGAGAUUACUCCUUGCAUGACCCCUAGUGAUAUGUAAUGUGAUGUGUUUAAUAGGAAAUGUGGUAUGCUCAAGAUUCACUUGUUGUCCUAUUUCUUGAGAUCCAUCAAGAAUAUAGGGUUAAGUGAAGAUUAUGUUAACCAUCCGAUUCUUGAUGGUGAUCUCUGACUUUUGGAAAAGAAUGGUCAAUUGGGUGAUAAAGACCUUGAUAUGCUUGAAUGUUUAGAAAACCCAAUUAAUGAUUGUUCAUGUGAAAAUGGCCUUGAUUGUGAUUCCUUUGAUGCUCAUGGUGGUUUGUUUCUAUGUGAGGAUUACUCCCUUGAAAAAAAAGUAGUGCAUGUGUAGAAAUUCGAUCUACUUCUUCUCUAUAUGUUUCUUAUGUUGAGCAUAUUCAUAGUGAGCAUUUCGAGAUUAGUAGUGAGUGCAUGCAUGAGAACACUAUAGUUAGAAGUUGACUUGUGGGACACAUUUCUCAACCCACUUUUUGCUCUUGAUAUUUCUAAUGGUGAUAAAGAAGGUAUGCCUAAUUUUGGGGAUGAUACUUUAGGGGAAAGUGAGUAUAGCCUUGGCCUAGAUACUUGGCUACUUUUUCCAUUUGAUCCCGGUACAUUAUUGGGGUGGGGAAGGGAUGGUCUCGGGUUUUAUUCCUUUAUACUUGAUGUCUAUCUUAGUCAUGUCCUUUGUGAUGCUUGUAAUAAGUGUUUCAUGUUCAUAACAAAGGAUUUUUGGUUGUAUUUCAAAUGUGUACCCCUUGGACUGUUCCUUUGAACUUGUGUGUUGAAAACCACAACAUUAACCUUGUUCAUAGUGACCUUGUGUAUGACAUAGUUGUGUGUAAUGUCUUGGAUGAUUGUGAGUUGGAUCCCCUAGUAAAAGGGAUGAUUAGUCUCGGCUUAUGCCCUUGGUUACUUCGACCCUUUGAUCCCGGUGCAUUCUUGAAGUAUGGGAGGGAUAGCCUCGGAUUAUGUGCAUCCAUUUUUUAUGUUGAUCCUAUUCACUUCCUUUGUGCUAUUUAUGCUAAGCUUAUCAUGACACACAUAAAGGAUCUGAGGAUGUACAAUACAAGAAAAAGGUCUAUUUAAAGACUAACAUUUAGGGACGAGCCAAUAAUUUGGUCUCUAAAAGUAUAUUUAUUAGGACGAGAUUAAAUUUCGGUCCCUAAUUAUAUAUUUUUUUUUUGAGAAGUAUAAAAUCUGGUCCAAAAAAGAGUAUUAACUGGUCCCUAGAAAUAAUUUACAGGGGAAUACCGCCAAAAUUAAUAAAAAUUUAACGCGCCAAAACGAAAAAAAAAACUAUCUGUAUCUCCAAAUUAUCAUCGAACGCUCAAAUCUCAUAUUUCCAAUCGCUCAAAUCUCUCUCAUUUUCAAUCGGCUAAAUUUCUCAAAUCAUCAGCUAAAUCUCUCUCAUUUCCAAUUACAGCUUCUGUUAUCGGUAUGUUUCUCAUCUCUGUGUAAAGAUUUGAGUAAAGUUUUUGUUCCUGGCAAUUUUUCAUCUCUUUGUAAACAUCAGUUUCAGAAGAAGAAUCUAUCAUCGGGUCAUUGCUGAUGGCGGGCUCAAAAUUGAAAACCCUAAGUUCUUCUUUUCACCAAUUUUUACUGCUACCCAUUUGAUUUCUUGAUUUAUGUAGUCGAUUUUCAAGGUGUUUGGAAUUAAUUUCUUUCUUUCUUGUUAUUCUUGGUGAAAUUGUUGUUUUAGAGAUACCAAUUUGUGUAAUUCUUGUGAGUUGGCGGUUUUCAGUGAGUUCUUUGUGUAAUUUCAUUUUUUGUGAGUUGAAGAUUGAUGAAAUUGUACACCGUCCCAACAAUUUGAAGAGAAAUAACCCAUCCGAUCCAAGGGAGACGGUACUUUUUCUUCCUUUCUUCUUUUCACCUAUUUCUAGUGAUACCCAUUUUGGUUUCUUGAUUUAUGGAGUCAAUUUUUUCCGAAUUUAAAAUGUCAGUUCCACUUUCUGUAAGUUGAUGAUUGCUUUCUUUCUUGAUGAAUUUAUUAUUUUAGACAUGCCCAUUUGGUUUACCAGAUGUAAAAUUGGACUUCUUUAUGUAAUUCCAAUUUUUUUGAAAAUUCAUGAUUGCUUUUGUUUUUGAAGUUGAUUGCUUUCUUUCUUUCUGAAUUUAUUGUUUUAGAGAUACCCAUUUGGUUUUCCAGAUAUAAAAUGUGAGUCUUUCUGUAACUCCACUUUCAAUGAGUUCAAAGAUUGCAUUUGUUCCUAAAGUUGAUUGCUUUCUUGUUAUUCUAGUUGAAGUUGUUUGUUUUAGCAAUUUUUGAGUUCUUCAAUUUGUUUUUACAAGUAUAAAAUGUGAGUUCUUUGGGUAUGUCCUUUUUCAUUGAGUUCUGAACUGUUAACUCACACUUAUUUUUAAUGAUUCUGGAAAGAAUUGAAGCAUUUCUGUAAUUGAAUUAUCUUUUUUUGGGUAAUGAUAAUUUUUAUUCCAUCAGGUGCAGGCUAGGCUGGAAGCUGAGAGAGUUGAAAAGGAAAAAGCCGCAACACUGGAAGCUGAGAGGAAAGCAGCAAAAGAAGCUGCAGCGGAGAAGAAGUCACCUGAGUCAUUGACAACAGUUCCUUCGGAGGCUAGCAAGGUUUCAAGGGAUGUCACUAGUCAGCCUGCGAGACCCAUAUCUGACGGGCAGAAACAUUCAGCAGGUAUAUCUCAACGUGUAAUCUUAGUGAUGGAGUGGAGACGGAUUUGACCGUCUUUUUCUCAGUCAUUUCGAGUAAAUAUUAACUUAAACAAAAUGUUGUAUGCAUAGUCUGAGGAGAGAAAUCCUGAUCAGUGCUUUAAGUAUAAGCCAUACAAGGAUGGAUUAGUUUUGAUCCCCUAUAUUUAGAGUUGGACAUAAAUAGGCGCCUUUUAGCUAUUGUAUAAAUGAAAACUUUUGAUCCAGGCUUGAUUGUAGGCUUUCACAGAUAGAAAAGAUAACUGAAUUUAAAAACCGGGAAUUAGGUUUAUGGAAAAGAGCAACUAUGAAGAUAAACUCUUAAGAACACUCCAGAAAAUAUACUCGUGAAAUGUUCUUACCUGGGGGUAGGGAUCGUCUGGCUCAAGGUUCACAACCAUGCUUUUCGACAUUAAGCAGAUGACUGAUCAGUAUAUAUGUGUCUGACUUACCAUUGGCUUUUCACAUGUCACCUUGAAGCUGUUAAACUUAUUUGUGGUCAAGGGCCACACAAUUACCUUUUGCCAGUUUAUGAGAACCAAUGCCGACGGAGUGCAUGAUAAGCAGAUCUGAUGUAGAACUAGUGUUGUUUGUAUUGUUCGUAAACAAGUUGAUCUAUUCGAAGGGAGAAACAUGGAUAUGAGGAUAUCAUUUCACUAACAUUUCCUUCCUUGUUUGUUAUAACUUAUAACAUCUCUUAGAGAGAAAUGUCUAUCAUUAUUCUAGACUCUGUUCGGUAAAUGCUACUACCGACGAAUAAAAUGGAUUUCCCUUAAUUUCACAGGUGGAGUCUAGUUUAAAAGUUUCUAGAAAAAAGAGUGAAAUUCUUACCAGUAACCAAAUCAUUUGACAAGCAAAUUUUGUUCCUAUCUCAUGUUCUAAGCAAAAUAUAUGUCACGAUCCGAACCGGGGCCCUGGUCGUGACGAGCAUUCCGAACCAUGAAGACCCGGACGCCCUUCUCUAUCUGGUAAUCAUGCACAAUAAUUUAUGUAUUAACGAAAAAGAUGCGAAAAAAAAUAAAUCUCGACGGAACCAUGGUCACAUACUCUGAGUUCAAUUGACUAUAAAGAAAGAUAUCCAACGACAAAUAGACAACAUCUGAAUUAGUCUGCGAAAUCUCUGAAACAUGCUAAUAUGACAAUUGUCUGAAAUCUGGGACGAGGCCCCCAGUAGACCCAAAACAAAAUGAGUAACAUAGUCUAAAAUAACCAGGCCUUUUGGAAUAUAGAAGGCUCACCACUGCACAGUCUCUUUUCUUUGAAAUCUCUACUGCUUAGCUGGACCUCUAGAUUGAGCCUCGGACCCUGUAAGGUAGGGGGUCAAUACAAUUGUACUGGUACGCGAAGCAAUCCAAAAUAAUGUAUUUAUAUAUAUAUAAAAUAGAUGAGAGCAGAUUUGCAAACAUCAUGCAUGAUAUAGUUCAAAACGCUUGGGCAUUUAAUAAAGAAAACAUAAAGCAUUCGUUUCAGCAUAAUUCAAUUCUUUGCAUUACUUCUGAGUUUGGUAACACUUCCCUACAAGUUUGAUAUUCCACGGGCUAUAAGGAAUCGCCCUUGACUCGUGCCUUUUUCUUGGAACCACCUAACAUAUCUUUAUGUCGAAUUUUAGCAUUUUCUGAACAUGUAUCAUUCUGAGUUAAAAAUCAUGAAAAUCUGAUAAAGUCUGAUUUCUAUACUAGUCUGUGUCUGUUAUGGCAUUGUCUGAUUUGGUAUCGUCAUACCAAGACUUGCAAGUCGUAAUUCUGAGUCAUUCUGUAUCUUUUAAGGUUCUCACUUUCAAAACGUGAAACUUAGACCACCAUAUUUCACAUAAUGCAAGAAAGAUACAUUCUUCACUAUAUUUAUCAAACCAUGCAGAAAUCAUUCCUUUCAAUCAUUUCAACGAACACAUGGUGGUCAUGCAACUUUAUUAGCAAAUCAUGCAAAUAAGUUCAACAUUUAUCAACAUAUAAAACCCCUCUCAUCAAUUUAAAGAUCACUCUCAAAUCAUUCAACAAUAAUCAAGAACAUUGAUUUCCAUGCUUCUAAAUAACAUUCUAAAAUCAAGUAUUGCAACAUGAGAGGGAGCGUAAGUAGUCAUGCUCUCAAUUCAAAUAUCAACUUUAAACACCUACAUGCAUAUACAUAUAAUUUCAAGUCAAUUUGGGGAAGGCCUAAAGACCAAAACAAUAUUUUCAAGGCUUCUAAAACAUGGUUAUAAUUGUAAAUCUAAAACCCUUUCCUUAAAAUCAUGAUUUCUAAACCCUUUACAUAAUUAAAAGAUUUUUCUAUGCCCAUGUAAUUUUUAGGAAAACCCCACGUACCUCAAUUUAGGACUUUGAUGGAUGAUUCUUGAAGGCCUCGGUUUGAGGAUCCUAAUUCUCAAAUCAAUUUCUAGAACCGAUGGUGGAAUCUUGAGUUAUUUGAAAUUUUGGGUUGAAACCCUAAUGAGUGUUCUUGGUGGAUUUUAAGAAAAAUAUUAGUAAAGUGGUGUUUUUGGGAGUAUAAUUCCGUGUUUGGGCGUAUUAGAAUUAGGGAAAACUACCCAAUUUCCCUUGAAAACGUGGAUUUUAAAAGCUGAAACAACUGGACAUCGACGCGAUUGGCGACGCGGCGUGUCGAUAGUAUCGAUGCGAUACCCGAUGCGGUGCUCCUUAAUCGCACUAAGUUUUAGUACUUUUACCUGGCAGCUCCUGCACAACAAUUGACCAACGCGAUGGGCGACGCGGCAUGUCAAGAUCGCGUUGGUCCACUGUUUUGGUACACCAAACAAGGUCUAAACACGGCUCGAAAAAUCUGAAACUUGUCUGGGAACACCUAUUGACCUCCCGAAUCAUGAAAUAGCUAACAUAUCAACUAUAGAGGGUCGGGAAGGUCGAAAUAAAAUCAUCAAAGAUUAGGGGCUCAAAAUGACUAAGUCCUUUUUUACACUUGGAGUAUUUUCAAGUUGCUAGCCUCUCAAACAUGCCUAUAGGUGACAUCAAGUCGAACAGAAUUACGGGGUGUUACAAGAUAUCUAUUCACAAGUCUUCUUUCUGAAAACCGAAGUUCUUUGUCAAUGCAAUCACCAGGCUCUCAGAAUCCUCUUCUUGAAAUUUUUCAAUGUUGUCUCUUGCCCAUUAGUUUGAUUAGUCCCGUAGUGUUAUCUUUUCUGAUAGUGUGUCUUGAGACUUGAGAGUGUUAUAUGUAAAAGACCAAAUUAGAUUUAUCUAUAUGGACUGUUUUGGUCUUUUUCACCAUAGUCUACUAUAAAAGUUAUUGUCAAAACAUUUACUGAAUUAUAUCCUUUUAACUAAUAAGAUAUGAUACCCUAGCCUUUACACAAAAAAGAAGAAGAUAUGAUACCCUAACCUCUAACUGCCAAGAUGAAACGUGUAGGUGUUAUUUUCUUUCUGUUUAGUGCUUAUAAAUCUAUGCCUCAAUUUCAACUUUACGAUUUCUGAUAAGCAGGAAAUAUAAUCAGGGUGACAGAAAAUGCUCAAAAGCUGGAGGAGAAAAGAUUGACCGUUUACAAUGAAAUAGCUGCGCAGAAUGAAGUGCUGGGAUUGGGUUCAAACAAGGUAACCUUGCCAAUCAAUAUUUGAGAUUUCGUUCCAGAUUUAUUAGACGAUUAUGCUUUUUGCUGUAUAAAGUGAAGUGCUCUGUGCAGAGGCUUGGAAAUGGGGUUUCCUAAACUGUUACUCUCUCUGUACUACUCAUUCGUAGUCUCCCUUAUGGGGUAUCCCAGAAAUAUGUGACACCAUUCUAUUAAUAUUGUUACUCUAUUCUACUUUCAUGAUUUUCAAAACCAUUGAACUGUUAGAAUUAAACUCAUGUUAUUUUCUAUGUUAGACUAACAUUUCAACAACUGGUUUUAUAGUUUCUUUCUUCUCACUUAAUAUUUGCUUAAAGAAAAAGUCAAAUUAACAUUGUCACACCCCUUUUUUUAACUCCAAAAAGAUAUGUUUUAAGGGUCGAAAGGGUUUUAAUUAUUAAAGUGACAAAAAAUGAAAAUUUGUUUCGAAAAAGGAUUCUUUUUAUCUUCAAAACUCAGAGUCGCAAGGUCUAAACACGGCUCGAAAAAUCUGAAACUUGUCUGGGAACACCUAUUGACCUCCCGAAUCAUGAAAUAGCUAACAUAUCAACUAUAGAGGGUCGGGAAGGUCGAAAUAAAAUCAUCAAAGAUUAGGGGCUCAAAAUGACUAAGUCCUUUUUUACACUUGGAGUAUUUUCAAGUUGCUAGCCUCUCAAACAUGCCUAUAGGUGACAUCAAGUCGAACAGAAUUACGGGGUGUUACAAGAUAUCUAUUCACAAGUCUUCUUUCUGAAAACCGAAGUUCUUUGUCAAUGCAAUCACCAGGCUCUCAGAAUCCUCUUCUUGAAAUUUUUCAAUGUUGUCUCUUGCCCAUUAGUUUGAUUAGUCCCGUAGUGUUAUCUUUUCUGAUAGUGUGUCUUGAGACUUGAGAGUGUUAUAUGUAAAAGACCAAAUUAGAUUUAUCUAUAUGGACUGUUUUGGUCUUUUUCACCAUAGUCUACUAUAAAAGUUAUUGUCAAAACAUUUACUGAAUUAUAUCCUUUUAACUAAUAAGAUAUGAUACCCUAGCCUUUACACAAAAAAGAAGAAGAUAUGAUACCCUAACCUCUAACUGCCAAGAUGAAACGUGUAGGUGUUAUUUUCUUUCUGUUUAGUGCUUAUAAAUCUAUGCCUCAAUUUCAACUUUACGAUUUCUGAUAAGCAGGAAAUAUAAUCAGGGUGACAGAAAAUGCUCAAAAGCUGGAGGAGAAAAGAUUGACCGUUUACAAUGAAAUAGCUGCGCAGAAUGAAGUGCUGGGAUUGGGUUCAAACAAGGUAACCUUGCCAAUCAAUAUUUGAGAUUUCGUUCCAGAUUUAUUAGACGAUUAUGCUUUUUGCUGUAUAAAGUGAAGUGCUCUGUGCAGAGGCUUGGAAAUGGGGUUUCCUAAACUGUUACUCUCUCUGUACUACUCAUUCGUAGUCUCCCUUAUGGGGUAUCCCAGAAAUAUGUGACACCAUUCUAUUAAUAUUGUUACUCUAUUCUACUUUCAUGAUUUUCAAAACCAUUGAACUGUUAGAAUUAAACUCAUGUUAUUUUCUAUGUUAGACUAACAUUUCAACAACUGGUUUUAUAGUUUCUUUCUUCUCACUUAAUAUUUGCUUAAAGAAAAAGUCAAAUUAACAUUGUCACACCCCUUUUUUUAACUCCAAAAAGAUAUGUUUUAAGGGUCGAAAGGGUUUUAAUUAUUAAAGUGACAAAAAAUGAAAAUUUGUUUCGAAAAAGGAUUCUUUUUAUCUUCAAAACUCAGAGUCGCCACUUGGCAUAAUCCGGUGUGCCAAGUCACCUAUGGAAAAUCCUUUUCAAAACGAUUUUGACUCUUUUAAACUGACCCGCGAACAGAGAUUCCGGUUAAGGAAUUCUGUUGACUGAGGGGAAGGUGUUAGUCACCCCUCGGUCCUGUGGUUCGACCACGGUCGCUUGGUGAAGCAUAUCGACUAAUUUUGACACUACGAUUAUAUAAACCACACAAAAGCACGCAAAACAAUCAAUCAACAAACAAAACAAUCAAAAUUUAGUGUCCAGUCCAAUUAUACAGUCCAAAACAAAAAAUGCAAAAAUAUAAACCUACUCUAAAUUAAUUCUAGACUAAUGCUCUACCCGACGCCUCGGGCCUUCAUCACGAACGUCCUCUGGGUACAUGAUACCUCGGGGCAUUCCCUGGUGAAUAAAUAUAUACAGAUACUUCGGGGCAUUCCCCGGCCAAAUUAUACAAUUGAUUCAAAAGUGAUAAAAUCAAACCAUUCAAUCAAAUUUCAAACAUUCAAUCAACCCACAAUCUCUAGAUUUGCCUACCCGACCUACGUCUUGCCUAUUCCAAUCGGCGUAUCUUGAUACUACCAAAUUCAAUUAACGUUUAUUUCAAGUCAAACAACUAAUGAAUCAAACUAAUCAAAAUUCACUAAUUAUAUCAAGUUUUCAAUUCUCGCCCCACUUAUUCCCACAUGAAUUCAAAUCUUUCAAUUCCUUCAUUCACGUGAAUCAAUCAAUCAAUAUCAACCACAGUAAUCACGAUUGCUCAAACACAAUAUCGAAACAUAUCACCACGCCACAAUCAUCAACCAAACACAAUAUUCACUCCAACACACCAAAAUAUAAUAAACAUUAAAUAAAAGAGGGGAAUAGAGUUGGACCUCGAUUCGUAGCUUUCAAACUCGAGCUGACCUUAACAACGACCAAACUCGAACCGAAUUUCGACUUCAAAUUGGACCCAACUCGGUGAUUCAAAACAGAACCCAAAAGACCGAUGACUCAAAAAGUUUGCUAAAAUCCAACGGAAAAUCAAACACCCGCAGGGUUCGAACUCCGAUGAGUCGCCGGUGAUGCGGACGACCAGAACAACCAGUCGUCGGACGGAUUUCGUCCGGAAUUGAAGAACAACGGAGGGAGAUUUGACCGUUUUAUACGAACGACAAACGGAAGGGAUGAUUCCGGCGAAGCUACUGCCGGAACAGUAACCCGAAAUCAACCCCUCUUCCUUCUUCGUUACGGAUCUCGACCUCUCUCACUGUAUCUCCCUCCCAUUCUCGAAUCUCUCUCUCUGUUUCUGUGUGUGUGUGGAAUUGUUCGGUGCUUGAUUAUUUCGGUGAAGGUCUUCUCUAAAUUGGUUACUGAGUGUGUAUCUUUGACUUUCCAGUGAGUUUUUGAGUUCCCCCGAUUUCUGUGAGUGUGUAUGUAUAUAUGCUGUGGGUACAUGAGGAUGCACGAGUGAAGAAAUCCGAUGGUGUCUUUUAAAAAAAAAAAACGUGAUAGCGGAAGUGUUGAUGGCGUUCUCAGUGAGGAAGAAAAAAAGGGGGGAAAAAUGGAGUCUGUGUAUGUCGUUCUUGUUCCCUCAAAAACCCAAAAAAAAAAUGGAUCCUCUUUUGUGCGUAUAUAUCCAAAUAUAUGGAGAAGAAGAUGGUGACAAAAUGGGUCCUUUUUUGUUUGGUGUACCCGUGGUCCCCCUUCUUUUAGUUUGUUAUUGUGAGGAUAAAAAUGUGAGUGGGUAGGGAGGUGGAAGCUUUUGAUUGGGUAGGUUGUUAGGAUAAGAUAAAUUGGUUAGAGGUAUUGUUUUUGUUUAUUUUUGUAUUUUUGUGGGAUAUAAUUACAUGGGGUUGGACACAUGGUACGGUGAAAUAAAAAUGAAUAAAAUUAGACUUCGGGAGGGACAAAAUUAGGUGUCUACAAACAUCUUAAAAUCCAUGUUGGUAAAGUAGCAUCACAUUUCAUGUAUCAUGUAACAGUGAAAGUAUUCACUUUGAAAGUUAACCUUUCCGGCUAACAGUCAUUGACCAAUCAAAUUAUGCUCUGGGAGUUGGUCGUCCAAGUUCUUAGAACUUCUUAAAUUUAAUUUUGUGAUCCUUGCACGCUUGGGGGUGUUGAGACUUUUUGACAAUUGCAUUUAAUCUUCAUAUUGCUGAAAUAAUAAAACGAAAUGAAAUAUAGGCUUGCUGGUUCACAGUAGGUUUUGGAGACCUCUAGCCUCCAUUGUGAACCUCCUCUCACGUGCAUCUACUCUGAACUCAUAAUUGAGAAGUUGCUUCUUAUUGGUUUCUGCUGUUCCAGGUCUGUGGAAGACCUUUCUAGAGAUUGAUUGACACAUUAGUUUGAAAUUAGGUCUUGGGGCCUAACUCCCACCCCAAAAGCUAUCUCAAAAAAAGGAGGAUUGCCCAAGUCUUAUAAAGAGACCGCCCAUCUCUUUAACCACCAAUGUGGGACUUUUACUAAUUUUUUAACAAUUAUUAGAUGUGUCAUGUUGUUCCGUGGUGUAUUUAAUUAAUGCAGUUAAUAUUUUGGCAAUUUCAAUGGAACGCUCAAAACUUGUUUGUUUAGUCGGAAUGCGAUCAGAUGCAUUUUUCUGUUGCUUGAUGUGUUGAAUUAUUAGGUUUCACCCUAGCGUACAGAGCUUUGGGCUGGACUUCUAUUUGAGAUCCUAAAUGUUUGUUUGGGUUAAGUAAGACAAGGUGGAGAGACUUAUUGGACUUGAGAUUUAGAAGGGAUUUUCAAGAUUGAGAAGUGAGUGAGCUUCAAAGAUUGUGUGCCUUACUGUAUAGGAAAGUCAAUCUGGUGGAUAAUCCCGACGUUUGGUGGCGGGCUUGGGAAACAAUGGAUUGUUCAAUAUGAAGUUCUUCUGUGAGAAACUUUUAGUUAGGGACGAGGUUGAAUUCACAUUUAAUGCAAUAUUGGUUCCAAGGAUGCCGAGGGUAGUAAUGUUUCUUCAUUUGGUUAGUCACUAUAGAGGUGAUCUUGACAACAAAAUAUCUUACAAAGUGAAAAGUUCUGUGGUAGUUGGUGUUACAUGUGUAACGAGGCGGCUGAGGACGUGGAUCAUCUUUUACUUCAUUGCGGGCUAAAAAUGAGGUUAUGGUGGGAUAUGCAUAUGUGGUUUGACACUUUGUAGGCAAUGCCAAAAACAGUGAAAGAUUUAGUGGUUGGACCCAUUGCGUUGAUGUGGGUGGUGUGGAGAGAGAAAAGUUGGAGAGCUUUUGAAUGUGUAGAGUUGAGUUUUUCUUCGUUGAGUAGUCAUCUCCAUUUCUUUAUUUCUUUUGGUGUAAUCAGAAAACUCGUCAUACAGAGUAUUGGAUGGAGUUUGUGGAGAAUCAUAUUUUUUUAGAUUCUUUUACCUUUUGAUAUUCACUUGCAGACAAGACUAUCAGUUUUGACCAUGUUUAUCACUGAAAAUAUUUUUACUUGAUUAGAGAAAAAAAAAAAAUUCUGAUAUUCUUUAGUUUAACAAAAAUUCUCUGUUCCUAACAGGCUUAUCGAAAAUUUGAAAUGGAAAUAGCUAGAUGAAUCAAAACUAUCACUGGUUCAAGAGGAACUGUCAGGUAUCUGUGUUCUUGGAUGAUUAACCCCAUUUCCUAUUGCUUAUUAUUUUAUUUUUUUCGAAACGAUUAUCUAUCCACCAUAUUUAUGUCACCCUUGUAGGUGCUUUGACAUGCAUUUUCAAACCAUUUUUUGGAAUAAACUUCAAAGAGAUGGAAGCUCUAUAUUGCCAUUUGAUACAUAUAUCCUACUUUUCCCUAUGCAGAGUGAAAGCAGUUGAAUUAAUUAAGCUAAUUAGUGAUUCGACAUGUCCACAAUACAUCAGCAUUGCAAUAUUCGCGCAGAAGGUAAAGUCCUGAAAGAGUUCUUUAACAGGGGUUUCUUCUUUCUGUGUCUCUCAUGACGUUUUGCUUCUUUUCUCUUUUUCUUUUUCUUUUUCUUUUUCCUUUUCUCUUUUCGGGAAGGAGCUUCAAAGACUUAUUGUUCUUAUGCUUGUAGGAAAUUGUGGGUUCUGGAUGUAGAAGUUGAGUUGUGUAUAUUGAAUAUAUUCUACUAUUGGAGCUUCGUGUAAACAUACAAGGGGUAUUCACUGUGAUUCUGGUUUUUAAUUUUAGGGAAAAGGCUCAAAUAUGUCAUUGAACUAUCAGAAAUGACUCAUUUAUGCCAUCAGUUAUAAGUUUGGUUCAUUCAUGACAUCGCCGUUACAAAAUCGGCUCAUCCAUGCCAUUAAUUUUUAACGGUGGUUUUUAAAAACUGCUUUGCCAUUUGGCUUUUUAUUAAAGGUCCUCGUCAAUAAUUAAAAUAAGUAAGAAGACUCAAAUAUGCCAUUGAACUAUCAGAAAUGAGUCAUUUAUGCCAUCAGUUAAAAGUUCAAUUGUAACGCCCUGCAAAAGUCGUUCAUGCGUCAGCUCUUAGUAUCAUGCUCAUAAAGCUAAAUUCUUCUUAGUGUCAAAGGGACUUAGUCCCAUUUUUGAGCUCCAAAUUUUUGACGACUUUAAUUUUGACCCUCAAUAGUCGUUAUGUUAGCUAGUUCAUGAUCCGGGAGGUCAAUGGCUGUUCUCGAAUGAGUUUUGAAUUUUUUGAAAUGCGUUUAGACCUCGUUUGGUAUUCCAAAAUAGUGGACCAACGCGAUAUUGGCGCGCUGCAUCGCCCAUCGCGUUGGUCAAAUUUUGUGCUGGAAAUGCCAGAGAAAAAUACUGAGGCUCAAAGCGACGGUGGCGCGAUGCGUCGAGUAUCGCGUUGGUCCACUGAUGCACCGUAUUGCCCAUAGCGUCGAUGCCCAGUUAUUUCAGCUUUUAAAAGUCUGCAUUUUAAAGGACAAUUAGGUCUUUUUCCUUCACCCUAAUACACCUAAACACGGGAUUUAACUCCCAAAAGACCACUUUAUUGAUGUUUUCAUCAAAAUUCAGCAAGAACACCCCUUAGGGUUUCAAACAAAAAUUUCAUAUAUUUCAAGACUCAACCGUGAGUUUCAGAAAUUGAUUGAAGAUUCAGAAUUCCCAAACUGUAGGCUUCAAGAAUCACCCAUUGAGUUCCUAUAUUGAGGUACUGAGGUUUUUCUAAAAUCUUAUGGGCAUAGAAAUCAUUAUUUUAAGAAGAUGGUUUUUAGAUUUACGAUUUAUAAUCAUGUUUUAGAAGUUUCAAUGAAAUUAUUUUGGUCUUUAGGCUUUCCUCCAAAUUGAUUAGAAAUUAUAUAUAUAUGUAUGCAUGUGUUUAAGGAUGAAUAUUCAAUUGAGAGCAUAAAUUAUAAUGAAUCCCUCUCUUAUUAUGAUUUUUCCCAUCUUUCAUAUGAUAUGAAUUGUUUUGAAAUGUAUCUUGAAAAACAUGGUAUGAAAUGUCUUGAAAUAUGUUAUGAUUUGAUUAUGGUUUUGAAUUGAAAAGAGAGGAUUGUUUAUGAUGCAAAAAUGUUGAGUAUACAUAUAAUGAAAGAGUUGCAUGAUUUUUGCCAAAAGUACAUGACCACCAUAUGUUUGAAGCAUUCUUGCAUAGUUUUGACUUAUGUUUCGGAACAUGAAAUCUUUUAUACUAUUUACAUGUUUGGGUGGUUUGAAUUGAGUUUUAACGAAAGAAUCAUGCAUGAUGCAUUAUGACUCAGAAAUAGGACUUGCAAGUCCUGAUGUGAUGACACCAAUUCAGAUAAUGCCAUGGUAAUUCAGAACAGAAUAGAAUGCAUGUUUGAAAUCAGAUUUUUAAGAUGUUGAAACUAGAAUAAUGCAUGAUUCUGAACAGGAUAAAAUUGGGCAUAAAGAAAGCUUAGGUGGUUCCUCAAAGAAGGCAUGAGUUCAGAACUCACUGCCUAAAACCGUGAUUUGCCGAUCUGGGUAUAUUAUUAUACACUGGCCUAGUGCCCCGUGGCGUAUCAGACUCAGACACUCUAACCCUUGCGGCACACUUGGGUUGGUGGCUUCCCCGCUGAGUCAAUGACGGAUUCCAUAUAGCCCGUAGAAUAUCAGACUUGUAGGGGAGUGCCUCCUAACUCAGAAGUAAUACAAAGAUCAGAAACUGCAUUGAUAGAAAGGUUUUAUGUUUUCAAGAAUGCCCAUGUGUUUUGAAAUUAUAUCUUUCAUGUUGUUUAUUAUUAGCUCUCAACUAUUUUACUUAUAUACAAGCUUUAUUUUGGAUUUCUUCGCGUACCAGUACAUCUGUAUUGACCCCCCUAUCUCUCAGGUUCUGAGGCUCAGUCUAUGGGUCCCGACAAGCAGUAGAUUCUUCAGACAGCAGAACAUAGUUCAGUGGUGAGCCUUCUAUAUUUCAGAAGGCCUAGUUUACUUCAGUCAGUUAUCAUUAAUAUGUUUUGGUCUACUGGGGGACUUGUCCCAGUUUUCAGAUAGUUGAGUUUUGCAUAGUAGAGAUUUCGCAGACUGAGUCAGCUAUAAAUCAGAUGUUUUGAAUUGUAGUUUUUAGUUAAGAUUUGAAUUCAGAUUUUAUGACCAUGUUUCCGUUUCAGUAUAUAUUUCUGCAUUAUAUAUUUUUUUAUGUGAACAAUUUACAUGAUUUCAAGUUAGAAGGGCAUCCGAGCCUUCAUGGCUCGAGAUGCUUGUCAUGGCUAGGACCCCAGUUCGGGUUGUGACAAACUUGGUAUUAGAGCACGGUUCAUGGUCCCAGGGUGUCUGCAAACUCGCGUCGGCUAGAGUCUUGUUUAUGGGUGUGUGGCGCGCCACACUUAUAAGCAGGAGACUAAUAGGCGUUUAGGAAUGUGGCCCUUCUUUGUGAUUUUGUUCGUACUUGGAGUCUAAUCUGUCCUCUAAUCAAUGAUCUCUUGCAUUUCAGAAAAACAACCAUGCCUCCUUAUCGCUCUAACAAUCAGAAUGCUCAGACUAAUGAGGUCCGUCCCACUAAUGGGAUGCGGACCCAUAACAGAGCUCACACCCCAGAACCUGUCCCUACUCCGGGAGUACCUCUAGUCCCGACCAGUCCUCCUCGGGCUCCAAGAACAAAUGUUAACCGUCCUCAGUCUUCUCCGAGGGAUAUUUCGAAUACUGAGUUUAGAAGGUUCACUCAUAUGCUGGCGCAGUUGGUGGCCACACAGACUCAACGGUUGGAAGAUGUUGGGUCUGCAUUUGUUACAUCUGAGGCUACUAGGGUGGGUCAGUUCAUGAGAAUGAACCCACCUAAGUUUACUAGCACCAAAAUAGAGGAGGACCUAUAGGAAUUUGUGGAUGAGAUGGAGAAGAUUUUUAAGGUGAUGCAUGUAGACGAGGUGGAAGGGGUGGAAUUAGCAGCUUAUCAGCUUAAAGAAGUUGCAAACCAGUGGUAUAACAAGUGGGAGAAUUCGAAGGGUGAGAGUGCUGAGCCCACAUUAUGGGAUGAGUUUGUGGAAGCCUUUCUUUAUCGGUUCUUUCCUCUAGAGUUGAGGGAAGCCAAAGCAGAAGAUUUUAUGAAUCUUAUGGAGGGAAAAUGAGUGUCAAGGAGUACACUCUGAAGUUCAACCAGCUAGCCCGAUAUGCUCCGGAGAUGGCUGGUAAUAUGAGGGCCCGAAUGAGAAAAUUUACAUCUGGCCUUUCAAACGACUUAGUGCUUGAUUGUAAGGGAGCAAUGCUAAACAGGGAUAUGGACUUCUCUAGAUUGACUGUCCAUAUGCAGCAGGUAAAGGAGCAGAAAAGGAGAAUCGCUGAGUCUAGGGAGAAGGACAGGCAAGCCAAGAGGGCCAGAACAACCGACCAGAGCCACAGCCAGCCGCAGAGUGGCAAUUGGGUAAUAGAUGGAAGAAAAAGAAGUUUGGGGGUGGUGCACAGUCCACAACCAGCGCCCCAGUGCCCAGACCCCCGGCUGACAGACGGACUUAGAAUUUUCAGACUAAUCAUGGGUACAGGGCAUAGGAUACCCAGUCCCAGGGUAGCGUGGCUCAGCAGCAGCGUACGUUUCCACGGUGUGAGACUUACGGUAGGCAUCAUCCAAGGAGGUGUCAUCUGGGUUCACUAGUAUGCUAUUCAUGCGGUCAGACGAGUCAUUUUCAGAGAGAUUGUCCUUCCGCUAGAAGGAAUGUUGGUGGAGAUAAUUCUCAGACACAUUCUUCCGCACCACCACCGCCUCAGAAGGGCGCCCCUUCAACUGCCGGGAGCAGUCUCAACUGGUUAUAUGCCUUGACCAACCGCCAGGAGGCAGAAACCUCGCCAGAAAUUAUCACAGGUACGUUACAGGUUUUCUCUCGUGAUACAUAUGUGUUGCUUGAUCCAGGGUCUACCCUGUCUUACGUGACUCCUUAUGUGGCUGUUGGUUUUGGGUUUGAGUCCGAUGUGAUUGUUGAACCUUUCUCUGUUUUCACUCUGGUGGGAGAAUCUGUGUGGCUAGCAGGGUGUGUAGAAAUUGUAUUGUGUUUAUUUUUAGUUGAGAUACGGUGGCAGACCUUAUAGAGCUUGAAAUGGUGGACUUUGAUGCUAUCCUUGGAAUGGACUGGCUCCAUUCGUGUUAUGCCAUCCUAAAUUGUAGGACCUAAAGAGUCACUUUCUCUUUUCCAAAUGAACCAGUCAUAGAGUGGGAGGGGGGGGGGGGGAUUCUUUAGCACCCAGAGGGAACUUUAUAUCCUAUCUUAGAGCUCGUAAGCUCAUUUCCAGAGGUUGUCUAUAUCAUCUGAUUCGAGUAAAUGAUUCUAGUGUUGAGGGUCCAUCUUUUCAGUCUGUUCUUGUGGUAAAUGAAUUUCCAGAAGUCUUUCCCGAGGGGAUACCACCUGAUAGGGAGAUAGAGUUUGGUAUUGAUUUGUUGCCAAACACCCGUCCCAUCUCUAUUUCGUCAUAUAGAAUGGCCGCUGCAGAAUUGAAAGAAUUGAAAGAACAGCUAGCAGACCUCCUAGACAGAGGUUUUAUCCGUCCUAGUGUUUCUCCCUGGGGUGCACUAGUACUCUUCGUGCGAAAUAAAGAUAGUUCCCUUUGUAUGUGCAUAGAUUACUGCCAGCUGAAUAAGGUCAUUGUUAAGAAUAAAUAUCCUCUUCCUAGGAUUGAUGAUCUUUUUGACCAGCUUCAGGGUGAUAAAUGUUUUUCAAAGAUAGACCUUCGUUCGGAAUAUCAUCAGUUGAAGGUUAGGGAGCCAUAUAUUCCCAAAACAACUUUCCAAACCCGAUAUGGUCACUAUGAAUUCUUAGUUAUGUCCUUCGGGUUGACUAACGCCCCUACAGCCUUCAUGGAUCUGAUGAAUAGAGUGUUCCGUUAGUUUCUAGACCUGUUUGUCAUAGUUUUCAUUGAUGACAUCUUGGUUUAUUCUAAGAGUGAGGAGGACCAUGCCAAUUACCUCCGAAUUAUUCUUCAGACUCUCAGAGAUCAUAAGUUGUAUGCAAAAUUUUCCAAGUGUGAAUUCUGGCUUAAUGCUAUUACCUUCUUGGGGCAUAUUGUGUUUAGUGAGGGAAUUAAGGUUGAUCCCCAAAAGGUCGAGGCAAUGAGAAAAUGGCCUAGAACCACGACUCCAACAGACAUUCAGAGCUUCUUGGGUUUGGCAAGAUAUUACAGAAGAUUCGUAGAAAGUUUUUCUUCCACAGCUGCUCCGCUUACUAAGUUGACUCAGAAAAAGGUGAAAUUUGAGUGGUCUGACUCUUGUGAGAAUAGUUUUGAAAAGCUGAAAGAUAAGUUGACUACUGCUCCUGUUUUGAUCCUUUCAAAAGGUACAAAACGUUUUGUUGUCUACUGUGAUGCGUCCCAUGUGGGACUUGGGUGCGUACUUAUGCAGCAUGACAAGGUGGUGGCUUAUGCAGCUAGACAGUUGAAAGUGCAUGAGCGCAACUACCUUACUCAUGAUUUGGAGUUAGCAGCUGUGGUGUUUGCGCUUAGAAUCUGGCGGCAUUAUCUUUACGGAGUACAUGCUGAUAUAUUUACCGACCACAAGAGUUUGCAGUAUGUUUUCUCGCAGAAAGAAUUGAACCUCAGGCAGAUACAUUGGAUGAAGCUAUUAAAGAAUUAUGACAUGAGCUUGCACUAUCAUCCGGGCAAGGCGAAUGUGGUGGACGAUGCCCUCAGUAAGUUGUCUAUGGGAAGCCUUUCUCAAGUCGAAGAAGGGACAAGAGAGAUGGUGAAGGAUAUUCACCGGCUUACAAAUCUUGGAGUACGACUCUUGGAUUCUGAAGAUGGGGGGGGGGGUGGUGGUUGUUCAUGAGAUAGCUAAAUCAUCCCUUUGUGCAAAGGUUAAGGAAAAACAGGUUGAAGAUCCCAUCUUGAUGCAGAUUAAGAAAGAUGUGGGUUAACAGAAGGUGAUGUCCUUUGAAAUUGGUGGUGAUGGUGUUUUGAGAUAUCAAGGUAGUUGUGUGUGCCAGAUGUAGAUGGUCUGCGGAAAAGAAUCCUUGACGAAGCUCAUACUUCGAGGUAUGUUGUCCACCCAGGCUCUACUAAGAUGUAUCAUGAUUUAAAAGAUAUAUAUUGGUGGAAUAACAUGAAGCGUGAUGUGGCUAACUAUGUUUCCAAGUGUUUGAAUUGCCAACAAGUUAAAGUAGAGCAUUUGAGGCCAGGUGGUACUUCCCAAGGGAUAGCUUUGCCCUUAUGGAAGUGGGAGAUGAUCAACAUAGAUUUCAUCACGGGACUUCUGAGGUCCCGAAACCAGUAUGAUUCUAUUUGGGUUAUUGUUGACAGGCUAACCAAGUCAGCUCACUUUCUGCCUGUGAGGACUAAUUAUUUGGGAGAUGACUAUGCCAAGAUUUACAUUGAGGAGAUAGUCCGUUUGCAUGGAGCACCUGUGUCCAUUAUAUCUGAACGAGGUACGUAAUUUUCUUCACAAUUUUGGAGAUAUUUUUAGAUGGGUUUAGGUACCCAAGUGAACUUGAGCACGGCUUUCCACCCUCAGACCGAUGGGCAAGCUAAGCGUACUAUUCAGACUCUUAAGGAUAUGUUGAGGGCUUGUGUGAUUGAUUUCAAAGGUAGUUGGGUAGAUCACCUGCCAUUGAUAGAGUUUGUGUUUAAUAAUAGUUACCAUGCCAGUAUUAAGAUGGCUCCUUUUGAACCAUUGUAUGAGAGAAGGCGUAGGUCGCUAAUAGGGUGGUAUGAAGUCAGAGAAACUCAGUUGUUUGGGCCUGAUCUUGUUCACCAGGCAAUGGAAGACGUGAAAAUUAUUAGAGAAUGACUUAAGACAGUUCAGAGUAGACAAAUAUCCUAUGCUGAUGUUAGAAGAAGGGAGUUAGAAUUUGAGGCUGGAGAUUGGGUAUUUCUCAAAGUCUCCCCUAUGAAGGGAGUCAUGCGUUUCAGGAAGAAAGGGAAGUUGAGUCCUAGCUACAUAGGGCCAUAUUAGAUUGUGAGAAGAAUAGGUGAGGUCGCAUAUGAGUUAGAGUUAUCUGCAAAUCUGGGUUCUGUCCCUCUGGUAUUCCAUGUGACCAUGUUAAAAAAGUGUUUUGGAGACCAUUCUCUAGUGUUGCCUGUAUAGGAGAUCAAAGUGACAGACUCCUUAUCAUAUGAAGAAGAGCCUAUUGAAAUCUUGGAUCGCUAAGUUCGAAAAUUGAGAAGCAAAGAGAUAGUUUUGGUUAAGGUGUUGUGGAGAAACCAGAAGGUUGAAGAAGCAACUUGGGAAUCAGAAGAUGACAUGAGAGCAAGAUACCCAAACCUGUUCGAUCCGGUGAAUGAUGAGACAAAAGGUACGAUCCUUGUCUUAUUCUUUUCAUGUCCUUAGUAUUCUUGUAAUCGUGCUUGUCUGUGUUCCGCGUCAUCAUUCGGGGACGAAUGAUCCCAAGGAGGGAUAAUGUAACACCCCGCAAAAGUCAUUCAUGCAUUAGCUCUUAGUAUCAUGCUCAUAAAGUUAAAGAUUAGAAAAUUCUUCGAAGUGUCAAAGAGACUUAGUCCCAUUUUUGAGCUCCAAAUCUUUGUCGAUUUUAAUUUCGACCUUUCCGACCCUCAGUAGUCGUUAUGUUAGCUAGUUCAUGAUUCAGGAGGUCAAUGGGUGUUCCCGGAUGAGUUUUAGAUUUUUCAGAAUGCGUUUAGACCUCGUUUGGUAUUCCAAAAUAGUGGACCAACGCGAUAUUGGGGCUCCGCGUCGCCCACACGUUGGUCAAAUUUUGUGCAGGAAAUGCCAGGGAAAAAUAUUCAGGCUUGACGCGAUGGUGGCGGAUGCGUUGAGUAUCGCGUUGGUCCACCGACGCGACGCGUUGCCCACAACGUCGAUACCCAGUUAUUUCCGCUUUUAAAAUUCCACAUUUUAAAGGGCAAUUGGAUCUUUUUCCUUCACCCUAAUACUCCUGAACACUGGAUUUAACUUCCAAAAGACCACUUUAUUGAUGUUUUCAUCAAAAUUCAGCAAGAACACCCCUUAGGGUUUCAAACAAAAAUUUCAUAUAUCUCAAGAUUCAAUCGUGAGUUUCAGAAUUUGAUUGAAGAUUCAGAAUCCCCAAACCGUAGACUUCAAGAAUCACCCAUUGAGUUCCUAUAUUGAGGUACCUGGGGUUUUCUUACAAUCUCAUGGGCAUAAAAAUCAUGAUUUUAAGAAAAGGGUUUUUAGAUUUACGAUUUAUAAUCAUGUUUUAGAAGUCUCACUGACAUUGUUUUGCUCUUUAGGCCUUCCCCCAAAUUGAUUGGAAAUUAUAUAUUUAUAUAUAUAUAUAUAUAUAUGUGUAUGUAUAUAUAUAUAUAUGUAUGUAUAUAUAUAUAUAUAUAUAUAUAUAUAUGUAUGUAUGCAUGUGUUUAAGGAUGAAUAUUCAAUUGAGAGCAUGAAUUAUAAUGAAUCCCUCUCUUGUUAUGCUUUUUUUCAUCGUUCAUAUGAUAUGAAUUGUUUUGAAAUGUAUCUUGAAAAGCAUGGUAUGAAAUGUCUUGAAAUAUAUUAUGAUUUUAUUAUGGUUUUGAAUUGAAAAGAGAGGGUUGUUUAUGAUGCAAAAAUGUUGAGUAUACAUAUAAUGAAUUUGUUGCAUGAUUUUUGCCAAAAGUACUUGACCACCAUAUGUUUGAAGCAUUUUUGCAUAGUUUUGACUUACGUUUCGGAACAUGAAAGUCUGAACGAAGUUUUAAUGAAAGAAUCAUGCAUGAUGUAUUAUAGCUCAGAAGUAGGACUUGCAAGUCUUGGUGUGACGACACCAAUUUAGAUAAUGCCAUGACAAUUCAGAAUAGAAUAGAAUGCAUGUUUGAAAUCAGAUUUUUCAGAUGUUGAGACUAGAAUAAUGCAUGAUUCAGAACAUGAUAAAAUUGGGCAUAAAGAGAGCUUAGGUGGUUCCCCGAAGAAGGCAUGAGUUCAGACAACUCACUAUCCAAAAUCGUGAUUUGCCAAUCCGGGUAUAUUAUUAUACGCUGGCCUAGUACCCUGUGGUGUAUCAGACUCAGACACUCCAACCCUUGCGGCACACUUGGGUUGGGGUCUUCCCUAGGCGAGUCAAUGGUGGAUUUCAUAUAGCCCAUGAAAUAUCAGACUUAUAGGGGAGUGCCACCUAACUCAGAAGUAAUACAAAGAUCAGAAACUACAUUGACAGAAAGGUUAUAUGUUUUCAAGAAUGCCCAUGUGUUUUGAAAUUAUAUCUUUCAUGAUGUUUAUGAUUAGCUCUGAACUAUUUUACUUAUAUACAAGCUUUAUUUUGGAUUUCCUCGCAUACCAGUACAUCUGUAUUGACCCCCUUCCCCUACCUCUCAGGUUCUGAGGCUUAGUCUAGGGGUUCCGACAAGCAGUAGAUUCUUCAGACAGUAGAACAGAUUUCAGUGGUGAGCCUUCUAUAUUUCAGAAGGCCUAGUUUAAUUUAGUCAGUUAUCAUUAAUAUGUUUUGGUCUACUGAGGGCCUUGUCCCCGUUUUCAGAUAGUUGAGUUUUGCAUGUACUAGAGAUUUCGCAGACUGAGUCAGAUAUAAAUCAAAUGUUUUGAAUUAUAGUUUUCAGUUAAGAUUUGUAUUCAGAUUUUAUGACCAUGUUUCCGUUUCAAUAUAUAUUUCCGCAUUAUUUUUUUAUGUGAACAGUAUACAUGAUUUCAAGUUAGAAGGGCAUCCGGGCCUUCAUGGCUCGGGAUGCUCGUCACGGCUAGGGCCCCGAUUCAGAUCGUGACAUCAGCUCAUUCAUACCAUCAUCGUUAUAAAAUCAUCUAACCAACAUCAUUACUUUUUGAUGGUGGAUUUUCGAAAACAGUUUUGCCAUGUGGCCUUUUAUUAGAGGUCUGUGACACGAAUUAAAAUAAAUCAAUAUUAAUUUCAAAUAUCUUAGACCUAUUAAAAAAACUGAUUCAUUUAACAUCACCCGAUCCACACCCAUUAUAGUAUUUUAUUUUUACAGCAACAACUAUUUUUCUGAACAGAAAAAUAGUGAUUAAUGUGUAUCCUUUGUCUAUUUCUAAUUGAUUCCAAAUCAUUAUAAAUGUUACGUUUAACAGAAACCUCAAAAAUUUUAUCCUAUAGUAACUGAUUAGUUUUACUUCUAGUGACUCCAAUAUAUAUUCUGAAGUUGCAAGAAAAUAAGUCAAUGAACGAUUAGGGCAAACAAGAAAAAGAAGGAGGCGCAUCAAUAGAGCUUCUCCAUUGUACCAUCACGAAUUAGGGGACCAUAUAUUUUUUUAAAAUUAUUCCCUAAUAACGGCUUAAAAGAAGUCUGUUAUCCCAAUUAUUCUGCCAUGUAUAUGGGAUAACUUCUCCCAUCACGAAUAAGUGUAGCAUACAUUGUUGAAAAAUCAUUUUCAAAUAACGGCUUAAAAGAAGUUUGCUAUUCCAAUUAUCCCGCAAUGUAUAUGGGAUAACUUCUCCCAUCAUUAUUGUAUAUAUGCUGGAAUAAAUAAUUUUGAUACUAACUAAUUUUACUUAUUUUGAAAUUAAUAUUGAUUUCUUUUAAUUAAUGGCGUGGACUUCUAAUAAAAGACCACGUGACAAAGAUAUUUUUAAAAAUCCAUUAUUAAAAAGUAAUGGCAUGGGUGAGUUGAUUUUAUAACGGUGAUGGCAUGAGUGAGCUGAACUUUUAGCUGAUGACAUAAAUGAGCUAUUUUUGAUAGUCCAAUGGCAUAUUUGAGUCUUUAUUCUUAUUUUAAUUGAUGACGUGGACCUCUAAUAAAAGGCCACAUGGCGAAGCUAUUUUUGAAAAUCACUGUUAAAAAGUAAUGGCAUGGAUGAAUUGAUUUUGUAACGCGAUGGCAUGAAUAAGCUCAACUUUUAACUGAUGGCAUAAAUGAACUAUUUCUUAUAGUUCGCUGCCAUAUUUGAGCCUUUUUCAUUAAUUUUAUAGGUUGUUUCCCUGUGUGUGAACCCUACAGGAAGCUUUAACAGAUUCUAAAAAAAAUCAUGUUAUCAUGGUUUAGAUUUGUUUCUUGUGGUUGUGGGAGUAUAUAUUACUGUGUUUUGGUGAUCGUAUAUUUGAGAUUGAGUUAUAAUUUGUGGAAUCCUAUUUCAAUUGGCAACGAUGCAUAUAUCUUGGUGUAAGAAUUUGACAUCACUCUUCAAACCUGUUAAAACUGGACAGUUGAUUUGCUAACACAAGGGGUCAGAUUAGUUUUGAGAUCUGAUAUUAAUAAACAGUUAGAUUUAAGGUUAACUGAAGAUAUGAACUGGGAAGUUUUCUGACCUGGGAAGUUUUCUGACCAAGUUUAGGUAAGUAGUAACUAGGGAUAGAUGUACAUGAUGUUAAAUGAAAGACACUGAGGUGCAACUGCAGAAAUUCAGUAAACUUAUGUUGGUAAAGCUAAGUUUAUAUAAUUUGUUUGGAACUAAUACUCUUUGCCUCUAUUUGUUGAGCAUAAUUUUACUUUCAAUUGGUUGUUUCAUUUUGAAUUUUUAGAAACAAUGUGGAGGAUCAAAUUUGAAUGGUGGGCGCCACAACUCAACUUGAUCUAGAUUGAAGUGAAUGAUGAAAUUUUUUGAAAUAUGUUGAUAUACGUUUAUAUACAUUUGGCUUUGUGUGGAACUUGGAACAAAUUUUUAUUAUGUUGUUUUCUAGUUAGUAUGUAAAAGACAUGUUUUUUUUGAAGUUCAUUGCAAAUCUAUGCACUUCAAUUAUUUAUUAGCUAAUUCACGCGUGACAUUAUGUAUAAAUAUGUAUGUUUAUGUAAUGUGCUUAGUGAUGUAUAUAUUUCGAUCAAAAAAAUUAUUUUUCAAUUAGAAAUUACGUACUAGCAUCUUAUAUGCCUUGUAUCAUUUCUGUAAAAUGUGUCUUGAACUAUCAAAUUUUAGAUAAUAUUGCAACACUUUUAAAGUGUGGCUAAAAGAUGCUUAUACUUUACAAAUGUUGUCACAGAGGAUGUAUAAAAGGCUACAAUUUUGAAGUGUGACUAGUAAUAAAGAAAAGACCAUGUUUUUUAAGUGUUGUUAUAGAGGUGCUACAAAAAGUUACACUUGUGAAGCGUGCCCAAUAGCAAAACAAAGACAACAUUUUUUAAUUGGUGUUAUAGAAGUGCUAGGCUAUGCUUGUGAAGCGUGUCCAAUAGCAAAACAAAGACAAUACUUGUAAGUAUAGCUUUAUCAAAUAAAAGUGUUGCCAAUGACAAGCUGCAAAGCGUGGCCUUUAUACCUUAAUGGCCACGCUUGUUAAAUGUAGUUGAUAUGACGAUACUUGAAAAGCGUGGCGUUUGAUCAAAGGUUAUGCCUUUUUAGGUCACCCUCCUAAAAGUGUUGUCUAAAGUCCGAAAGCGUAGCCUUUGAUCAAAAGCCACACUUCUGCUAUUUUAAGCUACACUUUACAAGAGUGGCAAUAGGACUAAAAUCUUACUCAAAUUGACCCAAUUUGUAAACGAUUACAAAAUAGUCAAGGAGUACUAUCCCUUCACCUUGUAAAUAUCCCACUUGGUAAUUAAUAAAAUUCCUUUAAUUGCCAAAAAGAUUCAUUCUUCACAUCAAUACAUUAGUUUAACAAACAUUUGAAGCAAAACAAGUUAUUUGGAACGAGAGUUGCCAAGAGCAUGUUCAACAUGUGAGAAGUUGAAUCCUGAUCUUCUCUAGUAUCCCUACAACAUCUUUCAUGUUUGUCCGUCUUGCUGGAGAUUCAACACAACAAUCUACUGCCACUUUCAUGGUUGAUGCUACACAAUCUAACUUUUUCUUCAAGUGAUUAUCCAUCGGUGUUAGCAAGUUGGAAUCCACAACAUCCAUUACUGCAUCAGGAAUUGAAUAACUCACCCAUUGUUUCAAGCUAAGAUCUCCCUCAAACCCACUAGGCUUUCUCCUAGUAAACGUUUCCAGCACAUGAUUCCAUAACUAUAGACAUCACAUUUAGUAGACACCAACCCAUCUUGUCCAUACUCUACAAUCAAAGAAUUAAUUUAAAGAUGUAACAUGAUAACUAGGUGGAAAAAAAAGAAAGGGAAAAGAAAUGUUCAAAGAAAAAUUAAGAGACGUACCUGGCGCAAUAUAAUCCAAUGUUUCUAAGGUUGUUGUGUAUAAAUCACCCUCAUCUUCACCAAGAAGUUUUGAAAUGCCAAAGUCACUUAGGUGGGCAACCAUAUCCUCGUCAAGCAAGACAUUACUAGGCUUCAGAUCACAGUGGAUCGCAGGUGACGAGCACCCAUGGUGAAGAUAUUCACGCAUAUGCCACAUCUAUCAUUAUGCUUAGCCUCUGCCUGAUGUCUAGGAAGUGGUUGUGCGGAAUACAAAUACUUCUCAAGACUUCCAUUAGGCAUAUACUCGAGAACUAAAGCCUUAAAAUCAAGGUUGGAACAACUAGUAAUGAUUUUUACGAGAUUCCUAUGGCGAAGGCUACGAGCAAAACUUCACAUUCCAUAUCAAAACUCUUGAAUGCCACAUCCAGUUGUAGAUCGAACACUUUAACUGCAAUGGCAGUUCCACUUCUGAGAAUGCCUUUGUACACAAAGCCAAAACUUCCAAAACCAAUCAGAUUACUCUCGCUAAGCCCAUCAGUUGCUUGGAGCAAUUCAUUGUAUGAAAUUCUUUCUCUUCUUACAGUAGACAGUGACUCAACUUGUGGAGGAGCUCUAUUACCUCUUUUAUGCCUUAUCCAUAGGAGCACAAAGGUCGUAGGAACAAAUACAACUGCAAUUGCGAGCAAAAGAAAAAGAACUAGUAAUUUUUUCCUAUUUGAUUUCGAGAGGUUCUUGAAAGGACCCCCGAGGGUAUUUCACCAUACAAUUUGUUGACAGAAACAUUAUAAAACUCCAAGUUUUGAAGUUUCUCCAAAGACUUAGGAAUGAUUCCAGAUAUAUUAUUGUGAGAAAGGUCUAGGAAUUCAAAAUCUACCAUGCUGCUCAUUGAGUCGGGUAUAGCUCCUUGUAACUUGUUGUGUCUCAAAGAAAACUUUGCCAGAUUUUGCAAGCCUCCAAUUUCUCUAGGAAUUCCAUUUGAAAAUUGAUUCAUCGAUAGAUCCAUCUUUUUUAUAGCCUUUAAAUUUUCAAUUUCCAGAGGUAAAGAAUCUACCAUAUUGUUUGACGAUAAGUGAAGAUACACUAGAUCGUGAAGGUUCCCUAAGCUUGGUGGCAUAUUGGAACUCAAUUUGUUGGAACCGAGAUGUAUCUCCCCAAGGGAAGUAAUAUUCCCUAAACAAUAAGGAAGAGAUCCUGAAAAUUGAUUUUGACCCAAGUAAAUAUCACCCAAAUGCUGCAAUUUACAUAUAUGAUCGCCAAUAAAUCCUUUAAGUUUGUUGAUACACAAGUUGAAGCGCUGAAGGUUUCUCAAGUUGCCAAUUGUUUUGGGAAUUGAUCCAACCAAGAUGUUUUCAGAAAGAUCAAGUUCUAAUAAGCUGCUUAAGUUCCCAAAAUCAUUUGGAAUUCGCCCUUUGAUCUUGCAAUUGUUGGCGUAAAUUUUUAUAAGAGAUGUGGAAAAGUUCCCUAGAAACUGGAAGAAUGCUGUUUAGAGGGUUUAAAGAUAGAUAAAGCAUUUUUAAAUUUUUGCAAUUGGUUAAGGAAGUUAGGAAGCUUAACGAAGAAUCGCUGGUUAAAUUGUUUCUCUCCAAGUUUAGGAACCAUAAAUGAGUCCAAUAUCCAAAAGAACAAGGAAUCAAGCCAGUGAGUUUGUUACCUGAAAGAUCUAAAAUAGUAAUUUUUGAACAAUUGGAGAUGGAAUGAGGUAUAUUCCCAACAAGAUUGGUUAAGUUGCCCAGAUAAAGCUCUUCAAUGUUGGGUAAGAUAGAACACAUGUUUGGUGGGAGGCUUCCUGAUAGAUUAUUGAUUAAAAGAGAAACUACUCUCAGUCCUGAUAUGUUGAAGGUCUCCAUUUCAAGUGAACCACUAAGACUAUUAAACCCAAGAUCAAGUUUCUCCAACUCAACGAGAUUGCUUAUCUCUUUGGGUAUUUCACCUGUCAACACAAGUGAGAUGAACUAUUUAGCUCAAUGCUUAUCUAUGUGAUUCAUGUUUUAGUUUGACUUGAUAAGAAGACUCUUGAAUUUUAAUUGGUUAUGGGAGAAGGUGUCGACAAGAACUCAGAAAAUUAAGUAAUAACUAUAUACUUCUUUUUCCUAUUGUUAUUGAUCAAAGUCUUAAGAAGGAUGUACAUAUUAUAUAUUUUUUUCUCUAUUAAGGUUCUUAAUUUAAUUUUCUAUGAAUUUCUGAUUGUGCAGGAUUGUAUUUUUAUAUGGAGUCAAAUAUAUAAACUGAUACUUUAUUAGAAGUUAGCUAACUACAAACAGGAGUUCAAAUUUAUUGGUUAUUUCUUAAAACAAAUUAAUUUUAAACAUUAAAAGAGGUGUUUCUUGUCAUACGCUUGAAGAUUUAUUUAUAAUUGUUACAUUUUAUUACCCAUUACAUGCAUAAAUUCAUAGAAUUUUAAUAGUUCUAAUGGAUCUAUAAAAAUUAACAUGAAACACAAUUAGAAUACAUAUGUACCUAUAAGCUUAUUUCCACCAAUCAGUAGAUGUUGCAUCUUAGUUAAGUUGCCAAUCUCCCGUGGUAAGAAUCCAACAAGAUUGUUUAGCGCCAGUGACAAAAUUUGCAGUGAUUGUCACACCCCUUUUUCAUCCAAAAAGAAUAUGAUUAAGAUCGAAAGGGUUUCUAAUUAUCGAAGUGACAAAAGAUGAAAGUUUGUUUUGAAAAAAGGAUUAUUUACAUUUUUUAUUCAGAGUCAUCACUUGAUAUAAUCCGAUGUGUCAAGUCACCUUUGAAAGAUCCUUUUCAAAAUAAUUUUUGACUCUUUAAACUGGUUUGCGAAUAGAGAUUCCGGCGAAGGAAUUCUGUUGACCAAGAAGGUGUUAGGCACCCCUCGAUCCCGUGGUUUGACCAUGGUCGCUUGGUGGAGCGUAUCGACUAAUUUGACAUUAUAAAAUGCAUAAACCACAUAAAGCACACAAAACAAUUAAGCAAGCAAACAAAAUAAAACAAUCCAAAAUUUAGCGUCCAGUCCAAUUUAUUACAAACCGAAAUAACCUACACUAGACCUAAACUAUGCUUUACUCGAUGCCUCGGGCCUUGAUCACGAACAUCCUUCACGUACAAAAUUCUUCGAGGCAUUCCCUGGUGAGUAAUACAAAUGACCUCGGGGCAUUCCCCGGCUAAAUGAAUACACUUUUCAAAUACGAUAAACAAAACAUUCAACAAAUAUUCCAAGCAUUCCAACAAUCCAACAAUUCUAAAUUUGCCUACCCGAGCCUACCGUUUACCUACCCGCUCGAUGACAUGUCACGUUCAACAUCAACAAUGAAUAAAAAAUAACAAUAUUCAUUUUUAUCAACUUUCAAUUCCCGUCUUCCCCAAUUCCGUCCCAAAUUCAUUCUCAAUCCAUGAUAAGCACAUGCUUAGAUUAUUAAAUCGCAUUUCAAAAUUCAAAUCCAACAUCAACCAAUAUACGAUCAAGAUUCAAACAUACCAAACACACAAAUCAAUCACGAUUAAGCAAAAAAUUAAAGGAAAGAAGAUAGAAUUGUACCUCAAUGCCGUUUUCAAUUAAAAUUGCUUUUUCCAAUUGAACCGCGUCCAAAAUCUUGAAUUGAACCUCAACGAGACAAUCAUACCCGUCUUUGAUCCACUCCCUUUUAUGGUUUAUCGCUAACCCAAACCCCAAAAAUCUCAAGAGAAUCAGACAAACCCAAAUACAAUUUCCAACCAGACUUUGAGGAUAUGGCAAGUCUGUUCGUUUAGAUAAGCUGAUUCCGGCGAUGAGUUGGCCAGAAAAUUGAAUUGGGAGUCAUUACUAGCAGAUCUCGGUCUAUUUUUGUCAGAGCUGGAGCUGGCUUUGUUAAUUCCGGCAAAAUUUGCUGGAAUAGAGACUGGAAUGGGGCCGCCGUCACUAGAUUUUGGUUGAGUGGUCUAUCUGGAGUUAGGAGGGGGUGAGUCCAAUGGCAUUCAUCGACGGAGAAGGUGAUUUCCGAUGCGUUUAGCCAAUUUUUCGGUGAAACACCACUCGCUGGAAUAGUACUCUCUGAUCACUCUUUGAAUCUCUUCUACCUCUCUCUCUCGUUCCUCUCUUCUCUCUCAAUCUCCCUCGAUUUCUCACACUCUUUUGUCAUGGCUGUGUGUGUGCAUGAAUCUUUAUAGAGUGUGUGAAAAUUGUGUGUAUUUUCCCCUCCCUGUGUUGUUAUUCCAGUGGUGUGUAUAUGUGUAGUGUGUGCUGUGUGGUGAGGUGAGUGAAUUAAAUGGAGAAGAAGCCACUCGGAAGUGAGUGUUUUUGUUUUUUUUUCUUUCACUAUGUCAGUGCAUGUGUAUAUGAUAAAAAUCUUUUCCUCCAUGAAUUGUGGAUGUCCGUGUGUAUAUAUGGAAGGUGAGAUGGUCAGAUUACUGUCAUUCUCCAAUGGAAAAGGAUGAGUGAUGGUGUAUAUUGUUGUUCCCUCAAUAUUCCCUGUGGGCCAUUUUAUAUUUUUGUUGUUUUUGAAUUGGUUUAAAAAAAUGAAAUAAAAGGUGAAGUGGGGUAGGGUAGUGGGGCAGGGUAGGUAGGGUAGAGGUAGGGUGUGGUUGGGAGUAGGUGAUUAGGAUAAAAUUUGUUAGGAUAAAUUAAAACAACAUAAAAUUUGUUAAGAAUUUUGUUAAGGGUUGUUAUUUUUGUAUUUUUGUGAGGUAUGAUUAUAUGUUUGAGGGUACACGGUAGGAUAAGGUAAAAAAUGGAAAAAAGCUUUCAAAAAGGGACAAAAUUACGUGUCUACAUUAUGCCCCUCUUUGCAUGUAAACACAAAAUGUUUUCAUACAAAGAAGUAUACACUGAGAUAGAAUUUUGACCCGACCAUUAUUCAAAGGAAGAAAUAGAAGGAAAAAGGACAAUCAAGUCUUGACUUAGGACAUCCUACCUACCUAAGUUAUAAGGAAAUUAAAUCGCGGGUAUCUCAAAGGGUUGGAAAGAAUGGGACAAUACCGAGUUGGAGAGUCGAGUGAGGUUCCGUUGAGGUUCUGGUCCGCUACUCUGUUAUUACAUCAAAUGAAAAUUACAAGUUAAAACAUAAAUGAAAUUACAAAAAAUCAUAUCUAUGCAGGUACUUUUGUACUCCUGACUUGAGUUUCAUAACCCUAUUUUUCAGGCGGGCUCCUGACUUGCAAUUUCAUCAAUCUGUUGACUUUCACUUUUUCACCUUGUUGCUUGAAUUUCAACUUUUUUACCUUAUUUCUUAAAUUUCAUGCAUUCUCCGUGUUUUUUAGGCAGGCUCCUAACAAAUGAAACUGACAAGGAAGUGUAUCUCCCUACAAAUGUUGCUUGAAUUUCCCACACAAGGAAGUGCAUCUCUUUACAAAUACCGCUUGAAUUAUCAAACAAGGAAGUGCAUCUCCUUACCAAUGCCGCUUGAAUUACCAAAAUAAGGAAGUGUUUCUCCUAACUAAUGUCUCUUAAAUUACCCAAACAAGAAAAUGUGUCUCCUUACUAAUGCCACUUGAAAUAAACAAACAAAGAAGUGCAUCUCCUCAUAAAUGUCGCUUGAAUUAUCCAAACAAGGAAGUGUGUCUCCUCACCAAUGUCGCUUGAAUGACCAAAAUAAGGAAGUGUGUCCCCUUAUAGAUGUUGCUUGAAUUACCCAAACAAGGAAGUGUGUCUCCUUACAAAUGUUGCUGGAAUUACCUAAACAAGGAAGUGCGUCUCCUUACAAAUGUUGCUGGAAUUACCCAAACAAGGAAUUGCGUCUCCUUAUAAAUGUUUCUUAAAUUACAUAAAUAUGGAAGUGCUUCACCACACAAAUAUCUCCUGAAUUGCCCAAACGACGAAGUGCGUCUCCUUACUAAUGUUGCUUGAAUUAACCAAACAAGGAAGUGCAUCUCCUUACAAAUAUUGCUUGAAUUGCCCAAACAAGGAAGUGCGUCUCCUUACAAAUGUUGCUUGAAUUGCCCAAACUAGGAAGUGUGUCUCCUUACAAAUACCGUUUGAAUUACCAAACAAGGAAGUGCGUCUCCUUAUAAAUAUUGCUUAAAUUAUGAAACAAGGAAGUACAUCUCCUUACAAAUGUCGCUUGAAUUGCAAACAAGGAAGUGCGUUUCCUCACAAAUAUUACUAGAAUUAUCCAAAAAAGGAAGUACGUUUCCUUACAAAUGUUGUUGGAAUAACCCAAACAAAGAAGUGCAUCUCCUUACAAAUGUUGCUUGAAUUGCCCAAAUAAGGAAGAGCAUCUCCUUACAAAUGUCUCCUUAAUUAUCCAAACAAAGAAGUGGGUCUUCUAGAGAUAUUGGACGAUGAGUUUUACCAUGGUUUUGAUUACCAAACCCGUGCAACAAAUUGCCUCCUAUAUUCGUGGAAGUGUGGCAUUGCAACUUUUGAUGUUUAGGCUUUGAAAUCCUUGAUUCGAAGGUAACAUAUGUUCCUGUUUCAUACAAAGAAAACAGGUUAGUUCAAAAAUAUGGUGGUUGCUUUGUGGCUUUAGCUUUCACGGCAAUCGCUCUUGCCCCCGUCAUAUUUAACCUUACUUCCAACCAUUAGCAUAUAUCAUCGACUUGCUGCAUCAUUGACCAAACUCAGAUUAUCAAGAUUGACUCUGAAACAAACACAGUAUCUCUGCUUUGCGUGCUUCUCAGAUAAACCCUUUGAACCUUGAUAUUUCCAUGAGUUGCCAGACUUGUCAGUUGACAAAAAUUUCUGUAUGUUUUAUUUCAGCUCACAAUUAUGUCUCUUUCAUGUGUUGACCUUUUGUCUUGAUUUGCGCAAUUGAAGAAGAUGGUAGCCAGUUUUGAAAUUUUUUCUCACUUGUUUUAAUAUGGACUUGACUCAAAGACGAGAAAAAUGAUGAUGACUUUUAUUUGGACAACUGACUCAAGAAAACAAAAUAAAAACAAAAGAAGAAAGAAAAGACAAUGAAUGUCUCCAUUUGAAACAAAGAAAUGAAAAAUUAUCUAGAAAUGACAGUCAACUCUAAUGAUUAUGCCAUGCAUUUUGGAUUAAGCUGCCUGAUCUUUCCAUCCAAACUUUCUACUAAUUUUUGUUGAGUUAAUGGCCAUGAAACUGAGUUAUUUCUUUAGGUCAAUUGCCUUUAAGACCUCAUUCGGCUAGUGACACCUUGAAGGAUUUUUACCAACAAGCCUCUCUUAUUCUCUUUUUCUCUGUUCACCUUUGUCUUAUGGUGUCUGUGAGGGUUUUUCACUAAUGAGACUCUUAUUUAUAUUUUUCUCAACUCACAGUUGUCUUACAGUACCCUUGAGGGUUUUCACCGAUAGGACUCUCUCAUUUUUUUCUCUCUCGACUUACUAUCGCGUUAUGGUGUCCGUGAGGGUUUUCACCAAUAAGACUCUCUCAUUUUUAUUUCUCUCCUGAUUUCUUAUGCUUAGGAAGAAAAGUAGUUCCCAAAAUGCGUCAUCAUAUCCAUUGCAUGCUUAGACUUAACAUUCUCAAAGAUUGAUCUGAAGUUCUUUCUUUGUUGUACCUUGGCUUUUGGAUAGGGUUAGAAAGAAAGGAUGGCUUUUGGAUAGGGUUAGAAAGAAAGGAUGACAUGAGGCUCAAAUGACACUUGAAGUGGGGUAGGACUUACAACUUUUAGAAUUGACUCAAAUAAUGAGGAUUAACCCAUGCCCCAGUUUCUUUGGAUAGGUGACUCUAAAUUAUUUAUUUGGUUGGACCGAGCCCAGAGUAGGGCAGCCUAUGUAUCUCACCCUCGAAAGAGAAGAAUCAGGUCACGCGUAGUUCUGGCGGCUUGUUUUGCUUGAUUCUGAUUUCUUUUUUCUUUUGACUUUUUUUUUAUUUGUGAUUUUCUUGACUUUAUUUUUCUUGACACUCUUUUUUCUUUUUGGACACGUUUUCUUUUUUUUUUUUGAAACUUUUUGACUCUAUUCUUUUUCUCGACACUUUUCUUUUGAGUUUUCCUGACUCUAUCUUGAUUCCAGAAGAGGGUUAUGAAAGAAAAUAGGACUAAAGCUCAAAUUGGGUAAACAAAGGAUGACACAAUGUUUGGAUAACAGAAUAAACUGCCUUUGUCAUAUCAAUCCUUGAAAAUACUAAUAGAUAGCAUGCAAGUGAAAGUGAAAGAUGAAAAUCAUUGUGACAUCUCUUACAACAUUAACUUUGACUGAGUCUGUGCGUCACUACUUCUUCCUCAAACUCCACCUUUGUUGUACAUUCCUCACAUCGAAUGACUCAUGCUUUCGUGGAGCUGAUUUUUCUGUUCCUUUUGAUGUAGGACCACAAAUUCACUAUUUGACCUAAUUGAGCCAUGUAUUUCAAUUGAUGACCAAUUUAUUCUUGCGAUUCUCAAAAUAAUUGCCUUAAAUUUUUCAAAUAAGGAUUCAACUUUUCGCCAAAUAUCUCAACGCUCUACCUAUGUCCUCAGAUACUCUCUUUUUCUAACAUUAAUCCUUUGACUCAAUUCUCAUGCUUAAAUUGGAUUUUAAGAUUUGGAUGAGAAUUCUGCUAGCAUGUCAUAACACUAGAAUCAACAUAAAAUGUACUAUGUAAUGAAAACAAACAAACAACAUAAAUUUAAAACCUAAAGAAAAAAGGGACACUCCAUUUAAUUAAAAUGAAAGAUAGAAGGAUUUUAACAUAACGACAAAAGGACAAAACCAGAUAGAUCCCAAACUAUAACCCUGAAAUAAUUUGAAUAAUAGAAAAUAAAACAAAACAGGCUACCGAACCUCUUCCUAGUAGGGAGAGGGGUGACUUUUCAAUUGCUCAGACUGAUAUCUUAGCCACUGGUUUGCAUAUCAACAUGACUAGAACUUUCCUCACUGUCAAUGUUCUGCACCAUAAUUGAUUUAUCUUGAAUCAUCUUUUUAAUUUAUCUUUUCAAAGCACGACAAUCUUCAAUACUAUGACCCUGAAUAUUAGAUUGAUAUGCACAUCGUACAUUAGGAUCAAAACUUUUUGAAUGUGGGUCAGGAGUAUACCCAAUGAGAGGAGUAAUCAUGCCCCGCUGUACCAAUCUCUGAAAUAGUCUGGCAUAUGUCUCUUCGAUUGUUGUGAAACUAUCCUUCGACUUCUGUCUCAUUUCACUGUUUGGCUUAAAUUGAAAACCUGGCCUAGAAGGGCUUUGGUAUGUUUGUGGAGUUUGAGGAUAACUCUGAGGAGUUGGUGCACGCCAUUAUGGGUAAGAAGGGGAUUGAACAUAUGGUUUUGCAUUGUAUACUGGAUAUGGCGGUGGAGGAAUGAAGUAUAAUGGAUUUUGGGAGUGAUUCUGUGGAGCUUGGGCAUAAGCUUGGGUUUGAGCCUGUGGGUAACGAUGGUGUGGUACUCUUGUCCGUGCCUGUUGUCCAGAUACAAUAAUAGAUUCAUCUUCCUCAUACUUCUUCCCUCUGAUAUUUCCCGAACCUUUUUGAAUUGCUUGAGUAGUCACUUUUAAUGUUGCAAAACUCACAAUGUGGAUGGUCUUAAUUCCAUCCUCUAUCAUCUCCCCCAUUUUGAGGACCUCAAUAAAUGGCUUGCCUAAUGUAAGUAACAAGUGUUGAUAAUAUGUUUUAUCCUGAGCUUGAAUAAAUACCUCCACUAUCUUACUUUCUUUUAUUGACGGUUUCACCCUAGCAGCUUGUUCACGCCAUCUAAUCGCGUACUCUCUGAAAGUCUCAGUACUCUUUUUCUUUAUGUUAGUUAGGGAUUUCUCAUCAGGAAUCAACUCCACAUUGUAUAGGAAUUGUUUCACAAACUCAUUAGCUAGGUCAUCCCAACUAAUCCACUUGUCGAUGUCUUGGUCAACAAAUCAUUCUGAAGCUAGGCCUGAAAGACUCUCACCAAAAUAUGCCAUGAGUAAUUCUUCCUUCCCUCCAGCACCCCUUAGUUGGUUGCAAUAACAUCUCAAAUGUGCUACAGGAUCACCAUGUCCAUCAUACUUCUCAAACUUCGACAUUUUAAAACCAAAAGGAAGAUAAAUCCCUGGAAACAUGUACAGAUCUUUAUAUGAGACACUUUUGUACCCCCAAGUCCCUGGAGGUCUUUCAUAGCCAAUUCCAAACUUCUUAAUUUUUUGGUCAUUUCCUUUUGUUCUUCUGUUAUAACAGGCUUCUUAGUGUUAAGAGGAAAUUCUGGUGGGUGAGUAUAGCCAUAAGGAUUAGUCGACUUAAAUGUGGGCUCAAUAGCAUGAUGUUGAUAAGGAAAAAUAUUCAAUACAGGCUCUCUCGUAGAGUGAGGAGGCACAACUUAUGGAUAAACCUCAAAAGUAAGAGCUUUGGGUGGGGGUGGUGCUGCAAAAACAUGAAUAGUGGGUGGAGCCGAGCAUGUGGUAGCUUUGUGUUGAGGAGUGAGAAAAUAAAUAUUGGAAGUGUUUGGAUAGUGUUGCCCUGGAGCAGGUCCUGAUGCAUGUUGUGGUGUAUCAACAAAAAUAGAAAACUAUGUAUGUGACACUGAAGGUAAGCUAGAAAGAUAUUCCAAAUUAUCAGCGGGAAAUGGAGGAGGUGGCAACCGAUUAGCCCAAGAUCAAUGCAUUUCUAUCAUUUGUUGCCUUAAUUUUUGAAUCUCUUCAUUAGCUGCUAAAUUUUCAUUGCCCGAACUCCCUAUCUAAUCAGUGACAACAAAAUCGAUAUCCUUGUUGGCCAUAACUUUCUCUGUGACUUGGUGCAAUAUGGAGGACCAGCCAAAAUGCCACAAACCAACCGCCUUAAACUAAUUGAAUAAGAGAUAGCAAAUGAGUUAGAAUUCAACAUUUUUUUUUCAAAACCUUUUUUUUUUGAAAAGGUCACCAAACCCAAGAGGGGUGGCUACGUAUCUCACCGCCGAAAGAGGAUAAUCAGGUGUGCGUAGUUCGUGAAGUCUUGUCAAAAUGGAUAAUUAAUUCUUUUUCCUUUUUUUUUUCUUCAGAAACUUCAAAAAUAACAAAUUGUCAAAAGAAUUGACAAAAAUCUUUUUGCAUUUUUCAGGUUUGAACUCCCUAUACAAAACGAAAUCUAUGAUUAUCAAAGAAAAAUCUUUUUGGAUUAUCAAUUUUUGAAUUUCAUACGAAAAUGAGACUUGAAGCUAUUAUCAAUUUUUUUUGUGAUUUUCUUUUAAAGAUGUAUAUGAAACACCUACUCUAAUAAAGAGUGAAGAUUUCUUUUUUUUAAUUUUUUAAAUAAGAUCCCCGAACCAACAAUAGGCUGCCUACGUAUCUCACUCCCGAGAGAGGAGAAUCAGGGGUUCGUAGUUCAUCCAGAUUGGACAAUUAAGGAUUAUAGAACAAACAAAACCUUGAAUUGAGAGACACAAGUACUCGAUGAAAAUAAAAUCUUUUUGGAUUUUUAAUUUGACACUUCAUACAAAAAUGACGCCAACAACCAUGAAAGAAAAAUCUUUUUGAUAUGAAAUAUACAAAACUUCUACCAUCUUUUUGAAUUUUCCUUUUAUAAAAAGCUCCUAUUUGAAUUUUUUUUUUUUGAAAAUUUUGAAUUAUGAAUGCAUGAUAAAGGAACAAAAGAAAAAUCAUUUUGAUAUUUUUGAGAAAAUAAGUGUGAAAGGUAAAAAAUCUUUUUGAAUUUUUGAAUUGUGAAGAAAAAAAAAUCGAAAGCCAUAAAGAACUCUAAAGACUUACGAAACUCUUUUUUUUUUCAACUUAUUAUUCAUUUUCUCUUUUUUCAACACUUUCUUGUCUACACACUCUACUUCUAACACAUGUUUUUCCCAAAUCAGUCCAUCAAAUGACCAUAUUACCCUCAAAGAUGCAACAUUUAGCAUGUAGGGAUGCUUCAGAGGUGAGUCUUCACAAAGGACCAAGUGAGUCCCGCUAGGUCUCAAUAUGAUGCAGAUAAACAUGACCUAAAGGCUGACCUACAUUGAGGUUUACUAACAAGGCCGUUUGGGGAGCAUAUGAUCGAUAGUGGCUGCUUUGCUUUUCGCCCACUCCAUACAUCCGGUGGCUCCCCCUCCUAAAAUAAGGGUGACUCAACUAUAAACAUGUAGCACGUAAGCACUCAACAAUGAUAAAAUAAACACAAACAAUAACACAAACAAUGUUUAUACACUCAUAAUGUCAAACUUAGCCGAUAAAACUCCAAAAAUAAGCUCAGAUUUUGAAAAGGAUCCCCAGCAGCG
rnacentral:lncRNA from 1 species